rnacentral:lncRNA from 1 species
AAAAAUUUAGUAAAAUAAUAUGUGUAUAUAUAUAUAUAUAUAUAUAUAUAUAUAUUUAUAUAUAUUUUAGGUUUCUAGGGUUUUUUAAAAAAAUCUAAAAACUAAGGGAUCUCCAUAUAAAUUAAUGAUGAAUAUGUGAACGGUUGAGAAAUGCUUUAAAGUAGUUCUUAAACCCUAUAUCUAAGACAUAUUGUGAGGAUUUAUGAGAAUUUUAAUGAGGAUAAAAGGGGUGAAAAUAUUGUGAAAGGAGGAUGAAAGGAUGGAGGAUUUCUUGCCACGUGGCAAGAAAGAUUAUGCUUUCAUUUAGAGUUAUAGAUAGAUUAUAGAUUAUAGAUUAUAGAUAUUUUGAAAUAUUGAAAAAAAAUAAUUGUUUCGGGUUCAAAUUUUCGGGUUCGGUUUCAGAUUUUUGGUCGGGUUCGGGUUUGGAUAUGGAUUUUUAAAAUCCGUCGGGUUCGGGUUCGGGUCUCGGGUUUGUAGUCGGGUUGGGGUUUUUAAAAGUCCUUCCCGAAUCCGACCCGUUGACAUCUCUAAUUCUGAUAGUUGGAAAUAUUCAGAAUAAAAGAGUGGUAAAAAAUAAAAAAUAAAAAAUAAAAAUUGGGAUAUACGUAUCAACAAUGCUUCCCACAAUAUUUUGCAGUAUUUACCCUUGGAAAGUUGCCAUGCUGAAAUUUAUCUCUGUAAAAUUUUAAAUUUACCCUUGGAAAGUUGCCAUGCUGAAAUUUAUCUCUGUAAAAUUUUAAAUUCUCUUAAAUAUGUUUUUAAUAGAGGAUGAAAAUAAUUGUUGGAAGCAGAAAACCCGUCUGAAGUCAAAUAAAACUUCAUAAUUGUUGGAAGCAAGAAAUCCAUUAAUAAAAGUCAAACAAGAAGAGUAGGUAAUCCUUAAUAAAGGACGUAAAAAAAUAGAUGACUGUGAAAAGACAUAUUUGUAAUUUUGUAUGGAUAGAAGAGUUAUUUUCGCCUCCUGGAAUAGGGGUGGGAUUAGCUAAUCCCACCCCCCCACCCCUAUUUAAUAUUUACAUAUAAAUAUAAAUUUUAAAAUUUUAAAAUUUAAUUUUAAAAUUUAAUAAUUUAAAAUUAAUAUUUAUUUUUAAAAAAUUUUUAAUUUUUAAUUUUUAAUUAUUAUUUUUAAUUAUUUAAAUUUUAAAUUUGACAUUUUAUAUUUGUAACUUGAUAUUUGAUUUAAAAUUUAAAAUUUAAAAUUUAAAAGUUAUAACGUUAAAUUUUUAAAUUUGAGAUUUAAAAAUAUAUAUUUUAAUUUUAAAAUUUAAAUUUUAAAGUUUAAAGUUUAAAUUUUAAAUUGCUAUUUUUAAUUAUUUAAAUUUUAAAUGUGACAUUUUAUAUUUGUUAGAUUUGAUUUAAAAUUUAAAAUUAAAAUUUAUAACUUUGAAUUGUUAAAUUUGAAAUUUCAAAAUAUAGAUUUUAAUUUUAAAUUUUUUAAUUCUAAAAAUUAUCUAUUUAAAUUUAAAAUUUUAAAUAUAAAAUAAAAAAAUUUAAAUUUAAAUAUAAUAAUUGGGACAAUAUCAUUAUUUUUCUAUUUAUAAUUACCCUCUAUUCUUAUUCCAUUUUAUCUAUCUAAACACUAUUUUUCUUAAUCCCAGGAACAACUCAAUUAUCAUCCAAAUGCAAAAUUGAUUUAAUCCAAACUUAACCCUGAACUUAACCCUAUCCCUGAAAUAACUAGUUUUUACUUAACCCCGAACCAAACGAAGCAUAUAGGUUAAAUACUUAACCCUAAUUUGUUUUUAACAUUUUUACCCCUAUGAUAUUUUUUUGGAAGGAAAUAUUUGUGAUGGUAAAAUUGAAAAAUAAACAGUUCAUUAACGAUAACAAACUAAAGGGAUAUAAUUGAAAAUAUCAGGACUUUUGUAAGGACAACAUAUGAAAGUUGAACUUUAUAGGAAUAUAUUUGUCAUUCACUAUAUUUGCAGGAAUAUGUAUGAAAAAUGUCCUCCAAUGUAGCAGAGAAGGGUUUAGAGAAGGAUAGGGGAAGGAGAUAAGCAAUAUUUCAUUUCAUCGAUAGGGAUUUUACAUUACACUUUGAUAUUUAUACUAUUUGGUGACUUGAACUGAAAGGAAAAUUAACUACUAUCUGAGGGCUAAACAGCAAAAGUGCUAAUAUGAGAUAUGGGCCUGAUGGGCUGCUAAUUCCGUGGUAAUCGGGCCCCCGUUGGCUUGACCGGUCCAUGAGCAUCAUGUAAUCGGGUGAUUGGAUAUCGGGCUUCCUUCUCCGCAUGAUCCUCAGAUGAGCGGAUAGCGAGUCCGCAUUUUACACCCGAUCCAGUAAUCCGACCGCCUGAUCCAUCAGUAGAGUGGUAACCGGGUAAGUGGGUUUCGGUCCUCUCUUCUUCGCACUAUCCACAGCCCGGCGGAUAUUGGGUCCGCCUUUUGGAUCCGCUCCGAAGAUCUGCCAAUUCGACCCACCGGCUUCCAUCUUCCCCAAUUGCCAAAAUCUGUCGGGCUUCCUCCUCCAACCACGAUCCUCCCAUUUCCCCUUCAUCACCGACUAUGCCCUAGAACUGUCGAGCUCGCCUGAGCCCCUUCGAAGGCGCCUUCCCGCCGGAGCUCCGCCCGAGCGCCUUCCCGCCGGAUCGCUCCGCCGAGCUCACUCCUCACCAACCUCCUGCUGUCACUUCUCUCCUCUACUUUGUAAAGUUGACAUUUUUACUACUCUCCCAUGCUAACUGCUACUACUACUACUACUUUUACCAUUUAUUCUUCAGGGUCAUUACAUAGAUCUGAGUGUUUGGAGAUGGGUAAAUCGAGCGCUCUCGAGUACAUCAACCAGAUGUUCCCAACAGGUUCGGCCAAUUUGAAUUGUUCUCUUAUUAGGGUUUUGUUGCUCUUGAUUGAUGCGAAUCUGCGAAUCUGAGUUCCUUUUUUGUAUGAUCUCGUCUAUCGACAUGCUCUUGUGCAACUCGGGACUUAAUCAUGUGUAUUCUUAUGUUUGAAUGAAAUUAAUAUACGCAUAUAUGCUUUUAGGGCGUGUUUUGGAUGCAUGAACAUCUUGUUCGGGAAAUGUCUUUUGUUUGGGUAGUGUUUGGUUGAUGAGAAGUUUGAGUUAAUGCCUACAAACGAAUCAAGAUAUAUAUAUAUAUAUUCUUUUGGUGAUAAAUUAGGUGAAAUAAGAUGGGUUAAAUCACGUCGUAGGUGAAAUACACGAUCCUAUCAUAAGAUUAUGGUUGCUAUGACCUUUUAAGGAGCUAAAAUCAAACUCUGAUUUCGAUAGUUACAGAAAAUCUUCAUCGCGUGUUAGUCAUCAAUACUGGGCCUUAGGGCAUGCUUGGAUGCACUGAGCAUCUUCUUCGGUACAUCACUUUUACUGUAAAAUACUAUUCUUAGUGCAUAUUUUUUUAUUAUAUAUAAUAUAAAAAAAAUUGAUAAUUUAGUAUUUAUGACGACUUGCUAACAUCAUUUAACCCAGUGGCUGAACCACUGGUUGAACCACUGACCCAUGACCCGGCAAUAUUUUCGGGUCAUAAAACGGUUCGGGGUUUUAAAUCAUUGGAAUUUUGGGCUCCGUCGAAAGAAAUAAAGUUAGUAUUUUGGCAGGUGUUUAGAGUGUUUUCAUGCCAAGAUUGUGAAAUUGCAAGGGCAGUAAUAGACCUUCCUAUAGCUUAGCUUCGCUGCUGCCUUUGAUGACCAGGUGGUCACGAUGACAAUAAAAGUUAAAUAAAAUGGAAACUAUACAAAAUUUAUCUUCUUUAAUAUUUAUUUUAGUUUUACUAUAUGAGAGCAUAAAACUACCGGGCUGCUUUAGCCUGGAUCUUAGAUUCUACAGAGUAGUAUGGUAACAACUUAAUAGAUGUUGUCUCUAAAUAUGUGUAGGUUAGUCUGAUAUAUAUCUCACUGUAACUACAUAUGAAAGAUGGUAUGCUAUUGAGCAUUUGAUGUUUCUUGAAUGUUCUUAUCUCUGUGGUGAGUUUUUCUCAUUUUGCUAUAUAGACUAUGAUAUCUUGAUUGAUUGAUAUAGUGAAGACAACUUAGAAUUUAUAGACUUGAAAUUAUUGGUUAUGCUUUUCAAAGAUGCAUAAUUUACCAAGACUAUGAAUCAUAACGUAAAUGCAGAAGCGUCAUUAUCUGGUGUCGAGCCACUUAUGCAAAAGAUACAAAGUGAGAUUCGCCGUGUGGAUGCAAGUAUACUGGCUGCUGUUCGUCAGCAGGUUGUAUUACUUUUCACGUUUUCGUUUUUAUGUAACAUUGAGUUUUAGAUUGUGAUUUCUACUUUGAAGUUUUUAUUACAUUAAGGUUAUUAGUUCCAACGAGAAAUUUGAAAAACUAGCUUUUGUGGAAAAGCAAAAUUCCCCCUCGUUAACAUUUCCAAUUAGUCAGAAUCCAGGAAAAGAGAGUGAAAAUGUUUCACUUCGCUUCUUUUCUACUUUUUAUGUGCUGGAAAUGCAAUGUGAAAAUUCCUUCUUUUACUGUUGUAAAACCAUAAAUUUGUUGCAUACCUUAUUUUACACAUUCCCAGCAUCCAAAACUUUGUACAACAGUUUUUCACUUCAAAGAGGUGCCCUGGAACCUAAACAUGCUUAUCUUUUACUUGAAUUUGUUGCUAUGAUCAUAUACUUGUUAAUAAUACUUAGUUUCGUACAAUAAUCUAUGCGCAGAGUAACUCAGGCACAAAAGCCAAGGAAGAUCUUGCUGCGGCAACACAUGCUGUUCAGGUCUUUUCCUCUCCUGCCUUGAUAAAACAUCUUUGUUUUAGUAUCAAUGUCUUGAAAAGAAAGAGGAUUAAGUGAUCGCUAAUAGUUUUGGUUGAUUUAAUGCUUUUUGUUUCCCCCUAGCUUAAUGAUUAGUUGAUAUGUUAAGAAAUACUACUUUUUUUUUUUUGUCUUUUAACAUACAGGAGCUUAUGCACAAGAUACAUGAAAUAAAAGCAAAAGCAGAACAAAGUGAAACAAUGGUUCAAGAAAUAUGCCGUGACAUUAAGAAACUGGAUUAUGCCAAGAAGCAUAUAACCACCACAAUUACUGCUCUUCACCGACUUACCAUGCUAGGUCAGAAUUUUGUUAGUUAAUGCUUGAGAUAUCUGGCUUUGGAACUUCACAGCUGCAGGAAUAAAUGAGACAUCACAACCCCAGGAAUAAAUGGAACUUCAGUUUUUGAUUAAUUUUUAAGUUCACCAAUUUUAGAGUUCUUUGUAUUGUUUGUAAAUCUUGUGUGUGCAUGGCCAGCUACGAAUGGCACAAAAUUUGUUUCAUAUGACUCAUUUAAAAUUUUGGUACAUUAUUUCAACUUUUGCUUAAGAAGCAAAAUUAAUGGUUAUGAAGGGUUGGUAAUAAAACAAUACACGGUUGUUGUGUCCUUUUCGGUUGUUAGUAUCUCAUGUUAUAAUUACGUCCUGAACAGCCUGUCAUCAAAAGCAAUAUGUUUUUUAAAUAGAUGUGUAUAUGGUAUCUCUGAUUGAACUGAUUCAGUUUAUUCUACUAUAGCAUUAAUAAAUGAUGCUUUAGUUGGUCAGAAACCAAGGAUUAAAGUGUUGUGGCACGUGGGCAUGCUGGUUGUCGCCUGUCACGGUACGGCAUAGGCACACCUCCGUGCCGACACGUGGCACACUUGCCUGUUGAUGGAUACGCAUAACCUCCUAGUGGCACGUUUUGGUAUGGUUUUUUUUUUUUUUCAAUAAACCGCUAAAUGCCACUUUGAAAGAUUUAAAAAGAUGAUUAUAAAUAUUGGCUAUAUAUAGUUUACUACACUUAGCAAUUAAAAUAGCAAUAGGUUUUUUAUAUAUGUAAAGUAAAAUAUAGCUAUAGCUCAUGGAGAAUAAAAUAAAAAAUAGAUAAACUUUGAAAAUUCUUUUGAUUUUACCUUUCUUCAGAAGUUAAAAAAAUUAUAAAAUACAAAACUAUAGAAAAUUAUUUUUGAUUUUUUCUAUGGAAUUUGGAAGAUUUAUCCAUAUUGAUUUUGAUGCGAGGUUGCAUAAUGACUAGAUUAACUAGAAUAGCACUACAAUUGCUCCAAUAAUUUCUUUUAAUUUUGAAUCUUUUAAAAAUAUUUAUUAAAAAUUUGAAGAAAAAAUAAUUUUUAUUAAAAUUUUUAAGAACAAUUGUGAGAUUUAUUCAUAAAAAUUUAACAAUAAUUCAUAUGAUGAAUUAAUUAAGCAAAUUAAAUAUCAAUUGCUUCAGUUUAGUUUUUUAUUUUAUUAGUAUUUUCCAUCUUCUAAAUUCGAAAAUAGAAUUGGGAAAGUUAAAAAAAUUUUGUCGUAAAUCUCAUACACAAUGCUAAAUUCAUCCAAAAUAAUUAAAAAUCGGACUACAUAAUAACUUAAUCAAGUAGAUCAAAAUUUUUAAAUUUUUGUAAGUUAUAAAUAAAAAAUUGCAUAAUUUCAAAUUUCUUCAAAACAAGAACUUUACAAGUUAGAACUAUUUAAAAUGUACGAAAAAUAAUGUAAAAUUGUAAAUUUUUUUACUUAGUAAGUACAUCUUCGAUUUGCUAUUUCUUUGCCUUUUCUCUGAAGAUUGAAGUGAUUAAAAUAGAAACAAAGUAGAAAUAGAAGAAAUUGAAACAAGAAAUUAGAGAAAAAUUUAUUAUAAGAAAAGGGAGGAAAAAAUAGAAAGAAAAAAACGAAGAGCUAGCGAGAAGAAAAGAAAAGACUGAAAGAGCGAGUUGCGGAGAAGAAAAGGUAGAAGAGAACGAGAUAGAGGGAUAUGUGUGUGGCAAAAAAAAAUCUAUAAGUAGGACCAAACCAAAAAAAAAAAAGAAAAAAAGGGGUUAAAACUUAAAAUGCUGCGUGCCUUUAUAGGCGUGCAGCGGCACUGUGCCGCGAUAUCCAAAGGGUGUGGCUCUAUCUCACAUGAAACCCUUUGGGUAUCGCAGCACAGAGGAGCCUAGAGAGAUGCCCCCUGUACCGUGCCCUUUAAUUGGUGGCACGGUAUGUAUCACCCGUGUCGACUGGCACGGAGCGAUAACCUUGUUAGAAACCAUGUGAUUAAAUUUUCUGUUGAGUUUCAAAUAUUUAGAUAUGGUGCAUCCAUCUUAAACUUCUGCAACCUCUACAAAUUGCAUACUAGUAUGUGUCUUCAUCUGUAUAUUCAUAAUGCAUCACUUCUCUUGAUGACAGUCUCGGCUGUUGAGCAACUUCAAGUAAUGGCUUCAAAACGUCAGUAUAAGGAGGCAGCUGCCCAGUUAGAGGUAACAUGAAAGCUAAUUGGUACAUAGCUAUCUAACUUAAACAUUUGCCAAGGUGUUCAAUGAAUUUAGAACAUAGGUUCUCAUUGCUUAAGUUGUAGGCUAGGGCGCGUUUGGCUGCAUGUAAAAUGUUGAAAAUGAUUUUAGUAAAAUGUUGAAAAUGAUUUUAAAGGAAAACAGAAUUUUCAUGGAAAAGAAACUAUAUUUAUUAGCGUUUCAUUUGGCAUGAACUGAAUAUAGUUUUGAAGGCAUUCACAUUUGAUUUGAAGGAGAAGAAAGUAGAGAGAGUAAUAGAGAGUGAAGAAAGACGGACAUUUUCAGUUUACUAGUGGUGUUUUCUGCCAAAAAUAUCCGGAAAACAAAAAUGAAUGUUUUUCCUGAAAUACGUAAAGCCAUUUUCCUUGGAAUGUGGAAUCUAACACUUAGAAAAUUCUUUUUCGGCUUUUUCGGCCUGCAAAUUGCUUUUGGGCCUAUUUUACGUGCAAACAAACACCCCUAAUUUCUUCACUAUAUAUAUUUUCUUUACAAGUAGUUGAAUUUCCUUUUUUCUUCAGGCUGUGAAUCAGCUUUGCAGUCACUUUGAAGCUUAUAGGGAUGUUCCAAAGAUAACUGAGCUUAGGGAGAAGUUCAAAAACAUCAAGAAAGUAUUGAAAUCACAUGUAUUUUCUGAUUUUUCAAGGUAUGAACUGACAGAAACUCCGAUUAGUUUAAGGUUGUUCAAAUAACAUUUAUAUUAGUUACAAUGUACUUUUACUGGUGACCGUAAAUACUAAGAAUAUGAGCCCCUCUUCAUAUAAACUUCAAGCCAAGAGAGAUUUUGUUGGUAGGUAAUGAAAAACUAUCAUAUUCCAUUUCUUCUGUAAAUUGAAAUUGAAAUUGAAUUGUGAAAAUGCAGUAUUGAAGAGAAAAUGUUCCGACUAGGAUAGGACUAAGAUUAUGGAGCAGGUGGUGGCUAACCAAAUGGUAUAGGUUCGGAGGAAAUGGAAUGAUUGCUUCAUGAAUAAGUAAAGGACUAGAGGCACAUGAGAAGAUUGAAGAAGUAUGAGCAUUAUGAGGUUGAGAUAAAUUAUGUACCUGUAGUUGAGUGAAUUUGGGAAAAUAUGCCUUUCCUCUUUCUUCCCUAGCUUUCAAAUGCCAUCACCAGCCAUUCUGCGUUGCAACAUUAGGUUUUUUGUUCAGAAUUGUUAGCUACCCAUCCUUAGAUCUUCUUGUGAUUCCAACAUAAUUGCUUUGGACUAUUAAACUUGUAUAACUUUCAAUGUCUAAUUUCAGCUUAGGAACUGGAAAGGAAAGUGAAGAAACCAACCUACUGCAGCAAUUAUCAGAUGCUUGCCUGGUUGUUGAUGCCCUUGAGCCAUCUGUUAGGGAAGAAUUAGUAAAAAAUUUCUGCAGUAAGGAGCUUACAUCGUAUAAGCAGAUCUUUGAAGGAGCAGGUCAAACCUUGCUUUGCUACUUAGAUUCGUCUCUUCGAAGUUUAUGUAUCAUGACACAAAUUGUGAGCUUUCCUUUUUUAUUUUAUCGUGUCUAAACAGAAUUGGCCAAAUUAGAUAAGACUGAAAGGAGAUAUGCAUGGAUUAAGCGUCGGUUGCGAACAAAUGAGGAAAUCUGGAAAAUUUUUCCACCUGCUUGGCAGGUUGACUAUCUGCUUUGUAUCCAGUUUUGUAAGCUAACGAGGUUUGUUCGUCUUGAAUCCCUUUCUUUGGCUUCCAUUGUGUCAUUUCUUUAUGGAUCUACAUUAAUUACUUGAUUCCUACAUUUUAAGGAUUGUCCUUCUUGUUCUUUUGGAAGUUUUCGUUUCUUCUGUCUGUGGAUAAUACUCAACAUAGCUGCAGAUGUAUCUGCUUUAUGAAGGUUUUGAUUGCUUAUAAAAUACUGAUGAUCUGUGUGAAGAAAUUCCUUAUGUCAUGUUAGUUGUGUUAACAGUGGCUUUUCAUUCAUCGCAUCUAUCACUUUCAAUAUGACUCCCUUCUUUAAAUUUCAGGACACAACUUGUUGAUAUUCUCAACAACCUCAGAGAAAAGCCAGAUGUUGGUACUUUGUUACUGGUAAUUUUCUUACUUAUUUUGAAUAUUGGAUAUUUGGUUCUUUAUGCUCUGUAUGGAAAUCAGCAAAUCCUUUAGGAUAUCUUUUCUCAGUCAACAAAGAAUUGCAAGUCUAUGAAACUGGAAAUAUGACAAUUUUUGCUCUAUGUCCGUGUCCAGUUUACACCAUUCGGCUUUCUACGAUGUGUCUCACUUUUUUCAAGUAAUUUACAUCGUGAUAAUGAUCCUUCAAUGGUUGCUUACAUUGCAAAUAGUGUUGUUCUCAUUUCUAGGGCGGAGGCAAUUGGAGUAGUUUCUUUUUGUUACUGAUGACUUUUUAAAGGUGAACAUAAUAGGAAUUGGGAUUUUUAAAUGUCGACAGUUCUUGAAAAUUAGCAUCUUUUUGUUACUAUAUUGUGCAAGCAAACCUCUUCUUUGGCCUUUAUAAUAUGUAAACCUUUAUAUCUAUUCAUUGGUGUAUGUUAUGCGAUUGUGAUUUAUUGAAAUAGCAAGAUAUACAGUAAGUACCUGUAAAUGGUCUCAUGUUAAAAUUUCACAAAGAAAGCACUAUAUGCCGGCUCUUAUAGCCUUUGUUUUGUAUGACUCCACAUUUUUAGGCACUGCAAAGAACCCUUGAAUUUGAAGAAGAGUUGGCGCAGAAAUUCAGUGGAGGAACUACACACUCUAGAAACAAGGAAUUGGGAAGUGAUGAGGAAGAAGCUGACGAGGGAGAAAAUCGUAACAAAAUUGUUUCUGAUAUACGGAAGAAAUAUGAAAAGAAGCUUGCGGUUCCUCGUGAUGGAACUGAAUUGGUAUGAACUAAGUGGUUUCAAAUGUUUUAUGGUUCAUGCAGUGGGUUGUCCACUAACUUAAACUCUACCUCAGGAGAAAGAAAAGCAUAAAGAUUUGUCGGUCCCCGGGGCUGGUGUAAGUAAUCUAGCUUUUCACACAUUUCAUUUCUCUCAUUUGAUGUCUUAACCAUGUUGUUAAGACGCUGAAACGUUCUAGUAAUUUUUUAAUUGUUGUUUCGCAGUUCAAUUUUCGUGGUAUUAUUUCAUCUUGCUUUGAAGCACAUCUGGCAGUGUAUGUGGAGCUAGAGGAGAAGACCUUGAUGGAGCAUUUGGAUAAACUUGUUCAGGUACAUGAAACAGGAAAUAUGUAUUGAGAUGGCGUAGUUUCUUUUCUCUUGCUAUGUAUCUCACUCAACUGACUUUGUUAUAGGAAGAAACUUGGGAAACUGAGGAGGGCAGUCAGACAAAUAUAUUAUCAAGUAGCAUGCAGGUAAAUAGAGAGCUUUUUUUUUUUUUCUUUAAUCCAACUUUGCUGCCCUUCUUCGACAGAGCAGGUGAAGAGAGGAAAUUAGGGGCUUAAAGAGGUCUAGAUAAGACAUAUUAUAUUUAAUUAUUCUACUUUUGCUGGAGCUGAAAGAUGAACACAGAUCAAGGACCUGAAGAAGUUGUACUAAUGUCCUGGAUGAUGCAACAUGCUACCUAAAUUGUGGAAUGCCUAUGUUGCAUGACCUAAUAAUACACUCUAGUCUCAGCAAGAUGAACUGAUAAUGGAAAACAUAGAGGAGCGACUAUUGGAAAAUUAGAGAAAAAGCAAUGUUUUAGGAGUAAGAAACCAAGUUUAGAAGACUUAUAAAGAUACGUACAUAGAGGAAUCAGUUAGCAGUUUACACUUAUGUUGUUAAUUGUGAAUGACAAGUAAUUAUGGGCAUAGUAUUGGUAGAAAUCUAGAUGAUAGCUCUGACCAAAAUUACUGCCAUGCCAAGUACAUUCUUCAAAAUACUCCCAUACUUUUAAGUUGUUAAAAGUUAUAAAUGAUCUAAGAAUUGUACACCAUGAAAGGAUUUAAGUACCGUGGCAAAGGGUUGUGCCAAGCACUUGCUGGCAUGGUACGGUACAAUGCGUGCCAUGCUGUGCCAAAAUAUGCUGUUCACAAAAAUACUUGUGUGCCGACACAUUAUGACAUGAAAUAAUUAUUUUCUUUCACAUCAAUAAAUUCUAAUUGGUUAUUAUAUAUCUUUAUAAUAUCUUUUGCACCUUAUUGACGCAACCGUAUGCUAAUCUCAAAGAAAAUAGCGUUUUAAGCCGUGCCAUCAGCAUGGGAGCCAUGUCAUGCCGAUAUCUUGUUGGCACGGUACGGAAGGCUCGUGCCGAUGGGUACUUAAAUUUUGGCGGGAAAGGAUUCACAUUCAUAGUUGUUUGAGAUUUUGCUUUGGCUGUCUUGAAAAUGUGUUUCUUUGGCUAUGGCUUGAAAAUGUGUGAGAUAUCCUUCUGGUAUUUAUUUUGUUAUUUUGACAAUUCAAAUUAUGCAGGUAUUUCUGAUUAUCAGAAGAAGCUUAAAGAGGUGCAGUGCUUUGACAAAGAACCAGACAUUGUUCAACUUGUUUGAGGUUCAUCUAUGUCUGUAAACAUCAGAACAUUGUGGGCUUGUUUGGUUCAUCCAUUUUAGGUAUGGAAUGGGAAUCGGUUUGAUCAAAUCCGGUUAAUUUUGUUUGGUUCGUAUGAAUCGGCUUGGGAUUCCUAUUCCGGACUGGAAUGGGAAUGACCCAUUAGCCUUCAACUUGAUUCCGGUCUUCUAGCCCGGAUUGAGAUUUUAUUUCGGAAGCCCACUAAGUUCUCGAAGCCCAUGUGACCAUCUCAGCCUCCUUCUCUUCACCCCUUUCUCAUCAAAAAAAAAAAAUCUAUCCUCUCUCAAAACCCUAUCCCUAACCCACAUCAAUAAAAAUUUUUAAAAAUAAAUUUGAUAUUUUUUUUGGAAAACUUAUUAGAGAAUAGUAUUAUAUUUUUCAUAAAUUUUAAAUAAUAUAAAUUUAUAUUUGAGAGUAAAAUUAGUAUUAUAGCAUCCUAUAAUUUUUUUAGUUUAUACAAACCAAACAAUGAAAUGUGAAUGACUCAUUCUAAUUUCCAAUCCACAAAUAAACCAAACGUCUUGGGGGAGUGGGCCAUUCCAAUUAUCAUUCCAAUUCAUUCCCAUUCCAUUAUCCAUUCCAAUUCCACCUUUGAACCAAACAAGCCCUGUUUGUCUUUUUCUUAGGAAUGUCACCAAACAUGGGAAACUUUUUCGUUUAGGUAUUUCAAAGAAUUCUCAAAGCAUAUGCAACCAGAUUAUAUGCUAGAUUACCCAAAGGAGGUACUGGGAUAGUUGCUGCUGCUACUGGUACUGAUGGACAGAUCAGGGUCAUUACUCAUAACCUGUUGUACUUGCCUGGUUUUUUCUUUCUAGGCUUAUGUUUUCUUAGAUUUAACUAUGUUUUUCUAUUUAACAAUUGAUGCAGACCUCCGACAGAGAUGAGAGGAUGAUAUGUUACAUUGUUAAUACAGCAGAGUACUGUCACAAAACGGUUAGUUGGCUUUUCUCCUCAUGGUAUUUGCGUAGCAAGGCUUCGAACAGAUGAUCUGAAAUUAAAGUUCGGAUAGGGCUAAUUUGUUUGUUGUUGGAGCCAGAAUUUGAGUAAUCAAUAGAAAAGAACAUAGCCACUUCCUCACUUUAUGACAUCUAAGUUAUGUUCGAUUUCCAGUUUAGGAUAAACAUACUGUUUAAAAGUAUCUUUAGAAGUUUGAAAAAUAUAAUUAUUAUAGGGGAAAAGAUAUUAUGUUCUCCUUUUCCUCUCUUGGCUCUGCUGAUCAACUCUUGUUGUAUUAUGAAUCAUGUGAUCUUAUCUUGUUAGUUGACUUCCUUUUAGUUCUAUUUUUGCAGUCUGGUGAACUAGCUGACAAUGUCUCUAAGAUCAUUGAUCCUCAAUUUACUGACAAGGUUGAUAUGUCUGAAGUUCAGGUAAUCAUUUCUGACAUUGUCGUUGAGUUGUUUAUGAAACUCUCAAAGUGCUGAGAUGAGAUCUGAUUUUGGGACAGGACGAGUUCUCGGUAGUGAUCACCAAAGCACUGAUGACGUUGGUGCAUGGACUUGAAACAAAGUUUGAUGCUGAAAUGGUUUCAAUGACCCGUGUUCCGUGGGCCAGUCUUGAAAGUGUUGGUGACCAAUCAGAGUAAGAUCUAAGAAUCUUUCGAUGUUAGGUUAUGUGUUCUCUUUGUUUAUUUGAAAUCUCAAUGCAUUUGUGAGCACUGAAUCUCUUACUAGGCUAGUCUCACGGAGAGAGGUUUUAUUUAGUUCGGUGGAGAGGAUUAAAAGUAGUAAGGUAGUAGCAAGAAAAAAGUAUGAUAGCACUUAAUUUUGGAAAAGAAAUUGUGCGUAAGUAUAUAUAGAAGUUUCCAUGUAGCCAACCCCACUUUUUGGGACUAGAGGGUGAUUAGUUGGCCGACUAGUAUCAUUGUGUUUGUGUUAUCAAUUUUUCAAGCAAAUUAUAUAUUUAACGUCCUCAUCUAAGCUUUUUUAUGAGAAAAAAUUGCAUUGUUAUCUUGCAGAUAUGUAAAUGGCAUCAAUUCUAUCCUGUCUAGUAGCAUUCCGGUGCUUGGUAGCCUACUUUCUCCUACGUACUUCCAGUUUUUCCUGGACAAGGUAAGCUUGCGAGAGUUUUCUGCUUUUUUUGUUGUGAACUCUCUUUCCUUUGUUGAGUCAAUAUGUUUCUGUUUUCUGCCAGAGUUUUCUGUUUCCUGUGUCCACUGAAAUUUAUCAUAGUAUCUUGCUAACCUUGCAUGUUUUUCAUUUGGUAACUAGACCUCAGCUCAAAUUUUUAUUAUGUGCUGAUGAGUUCAAAAUGGAGAUAUACAGAUCAGCUUUUUGUCAAAUUUGUUGCAUAUGAUUUUUUUUUUUUUUUUUUUUUUUUUUUUUUUUUUUUUUUUUUUUUUUUUUUUUUUUUAAGUCCAUUCAUGAUGUUAUUGUGGUGUGAGACCAGUGAUAGAAUGUUCUUAUACUUUAUCAGAUUGUAGGCUAAUUCAACUUCCAACUUAGGUUAGGAAAAAUUGUCACUAUUUUAAAUUUAAAAACUGCCAUCUCUCUGAUGAUAAUUCAUUAGUGAAUUGUAAUAAACAUCCUAUCAGAGUUAACUCAGUAUUAGGUCGAAUUUCUUUUCCACUGACUUUAUCACCCUGAAAGCAUGGAUUGGAGAGCUUGGUUGUUGAUCCUUCAUUUUGCUAAAUAAUUUUACUAUGCAAAAUCAACUGCUGUAUUAAAGAUAGAAAUUUGCAUUCCACUUGUUUAAAGGCUAUCACAUGAGUAGUUCGAGAUCAGCUAAUUAAUUGCUGAGAGUUAUCCUGGUUCCACUGAACCAGGUCUAUUUACCGUCUGGUAGAGAUGCGAUUUAGUUGCAAGAUUAAUCUUGUUUGUUGAAUAUUGUUGAAGUAUCAUGCGCAUACAUUUUACUGGAUAUCUUCUGCUUUCUUGUUUUCUUUUCUUUUACUGCUAUAUAUCUGGUUGGCUGUAUUAACCAAUGAUUUCACACAGCUAGCGGCAUCUCUGGGUCCUCGAUUUUACCUCAACAUUUAUAAAUGCAAGCACAUAUCAGAAACCGGUGCGCAACAGGUAUCUUUCAUGUUAUUGCUAAGAUUGUUUUCAUUAGAAUGGUCAGGAUUGCUCGAAUUACAACCAAAAGUAAUAAUCAGCAAGUUAACUGUUCUUUAGUACUAAAAUAAUCAUUGCCAAUUUGGUAUCUGUUUAUCUGACCGCCCUAUUUAUUUUUUGUAGAUGCUGCUAGACACUCAGGCCGUCAAGAAAAUCCUCUUGGACAUCCCAACUUUAGGGAAACAGGUAAUCUUUUUCUCAUUCAAGUUCGAUAUAUGGGUAUUCUGACUUGUCAUCUAUAAUAGGGAAAUUUUUGAAUGUUCUCCACAUUUCCUGUUAAUUAAAUAACUAUGCAGUAGUUGACGUGUGGAAAGGGGAAAAAAAAAUACUUGUUUGAGACUCAUCCAUGUUGAUAGUUGUUUCAAAUGCUUGAAAAUUUCUCCAAGUAUGAUAUGUUUUGGUUUCAGCGUUCUAUUAAAUUUGAUCUUUCCCUCGAGUAGAAUUGUGGAAAUCUAUUUGUUUUUUGCUGUAUCUGGAAUUUUUCUUUGACUUCUACUUUGUUAUCAAACUUCUUUGCAUUGUUGUUGAUCAAUUAUACUCCUGCAACAGACUGCACUUGCUGCUAGCUACUCAAAAUUUGUAAGCCGUGAGAUGAGUAAAGCUGAAGCCCUCUUGAAGGUUAGAUGUUUAUUUGAAUAUAUUCUUCAAAACUUGAUGAGGUGUGUCUUUAAUUAAAAUAAAAAAAAAUGGUGAUGUAUAUUGUUUUUGCAGGUUAUUUUAUCUCCUGUUGAUUCUGUUGCAAAUACAUACCGUGCAUUACUUCCUGAGGGCACACCUCUUGAGUUCCAAAGGAUACUCGAUCUCAAGGUUUGUAUGUCUAUCAAGUUUUAGUUCGUAUCUUCUAUGUUAAAGGCCUCUACAAGUAAUUUGAUAUGUCAUUUACCUCCGGUAGGUCUCGUUUAGAAUUAGCACAAGUUUUACAACUUAUCUCGGAGAACAGCGUUUAAAUACAUUAUUUAGAAAUAUCAUAUUUCUGGAAAAUAGAUAUAGUAAACCUGUCGUGAUGAAUUAACUUCCAAAUCAAUGAUUGCAUGAUAAAGUGGUACAAUUCGAUCUUCUUCUCCAGGGAAUAUUGGUCUUUCUAUGGAUCGUCAAAAAUAAACCGCAAUUUUGAUGAUAAUGACCUUAAAACCAUUAAAGUGACUUAUCAAGCUCCCAUUUCCUUUAAUUAUUGCAAUCUGGAGCUGUAAACCAAACACAUUCCCGUUUCAUCGGUGCUGGUGGUGAUACUCUGUCGUUUUUCUUUUCUUUUCUUUUCUUUUCUUUUCUUUUUGUGUGUUAAAAUAGUUGUAUAGUAAAUAGUUGAUCUUUUCACUCACUAGUGUAACUUCAUAUGCUCGCGUAGCCCAUUCAUUACAGAGAAGUUCUUUUGCAGGGACUGAAGAAAGCAGACCAACAAGCUAUACUAGAAGACUUCAACAAGCACGGCACGAGCAUCAGACAUCCUUCGGUGCCUCCGUCUGUUUCAUUGCCGCCUGCUCCAGUUGCGCCGACGGCUCCACCGCUAACAACAACGACAACAACUACCUCUACUACAAUGACUUUGUCUAGCAUGACGAGCACGGGUACUCCAUCAGCAGCUCUUGCUUCCCGAGAGGACGUGCUUACUCGUGCCGCCGCGUUAGGGCGGGGAGCCGCCACCACUGGUUUCAAGAGAUUUCUCGCAUUAACCGAGGCUGCCAAAGACCGGAAGGAUGGGCCGUUCCGCAAGCUCUUCAGUCCCUAGACAUUCGGCGUUCUUUGUGUAAAUCAUUGCAUUAUUUUCUUUAGUAAAUCUGAUGCGCCUUGUAGCCAUAGUUUUUCUUCUUCUUCUUCGUCUUCUUCUUCUACUUCUUUCCCCCAUUUUCGAGCUUUGCAUAUGUAAUCUUAUUUUCACAAAGUGGGCAAUUCUUUUUGUCUUUUCGCAAAGAUAGCUGCUGUUACUUGAUCAGAUAAGAGGCUACUGUACCUGUUUGUCGAACAAGGCCCUUUCAUCUAAUUUCGGGUCAUAAAAAGAAAAUAAUGAAAUGCAUUGGAUAAUAGUUUGUUUUAAGGGAAAACUUCAAAAACCCCCCCUGUGGUUUCACACUUUUUUAUUUUAGUACCCUGUGGUUUGAAGUGUAUCAAGUUAGUACCCUGUGGUUUCUCACUUUAUCACUUUAGUACCCUGUGGUUUAAAAUGUAUCAAGCUAGUACCCUGUGGUUUUGCACUUUAUCACUUUAGUAUCCUGUGGUUUCACACUUUAUCACUUUAGUACCUUGUGAUUUAAAAAACUAUAGGUACUAACUUGAUACAAAAUUAAAACCACAGGGUACUAAAGUGAUAAAGUGCAAAACCACAGGGUACUAACUUGAUACACUUUAAACCACAGGGUACUUAAGUAAUAAAGUGAGAAACCACGGGGUACUAACUUGAUACAUUUUAAACCACAGGGUAUUAAAGUGAAAAAAAUUGAAACCACAAGGGGGGUUUUUGAAGUUUUCCCUUGUUUUAAAUAGUCUUAAUAUUAAUUAAAUUAUAAGAAUUGGGGACUAAAAUAGUAGCAGAGGCUUUGUACCCAAAAAAAAAAAAAAAACUCUUAUUUCCGAUCUACAAAAACAAUAUCAAGCUAUGCGGCAAGGGUCAAACGCAUAUAGAAGUUCGAAGUGUUUCUGAACUCGGAUGUUUCCUUUGUAAUUUGUAUUCGAGGGAAGUCGCUCAACUUUGUUUUGCUGAAACUCGGGAGUGGUUAUGCGAUAUUGUUAAUAUUUGUUUCACUAUUAAUCACUUGAACUAUAUCAAUUCAUAUUUGCCACUUGAAUUUUUAAGUCUUUUACAAUUAAUUAUCUAGGUCUUAUGUAUAUUCGAUCAAUGUAAAGUCAUGGAAAAAAAAAAAAAAUUGUUACGAUCCAAACUACUUCCCAAUUCUGAGUUGCGAUCGCUGCAUCUCCAUACGAUUCAAAUCUAAAGUUUAAACUUGAAUUUGAUAAAGCUGUAAGGUUUUAAAGAAAAUCUACAUAUGCAUUUACUAACAUGCAUGGGGAGUAAAUAUUUGGUCAUCCACACCCAAUAAUAUAAUGCAAUAUGAACAGUUAUCAUUAAAUGCUGACUACAUGAUAUCUUGUCCCGUAAUCCUCUCUAGGUGCACUAUUCAAUCCUCCUGCCUACAAAAUACUAAAAACAAGUCCCGAGUAAUUAGGAUACAAUAUGAAAGAGUUAACAACUAGCAAUAUAUGUAUAAUUGAACUACACUAGUAGAAGACUAAUGGCUGUCCUCUAUGUUCAAUACGUGACGCGCUUCAACUCUCUUAAUGCACUUGACACAAACCCAUUAACUCAAAUGAUCAACUCGACAACCUAAAACUAGGUUUCUGCAGCUGUAAUACCCACCUCCAAACACCAAACGUGUCACUUUAUAAUAGCUCGUCAUAAUGUAUCCAGUAUGGUCUAUCUGCCAUACGUUAUUCAUUCCCACUAAUAUUAUGUUGGUCAUAUUUCUUUUUCUUUUUUCUUUUUUUUUUUUUUUUGAGAGAUAGAUAGCACGCUACCCACUUCGUUUAUUUCAUUUAGAAAUAAAUUUAGCUAGAAAUGUGAAUCAACUAGGAUUCGAACUUGGGUCUCGGGUACCAACCACCAAACCCUUUGCCACUUGUUCUACUGACGGUCGGUCAUAUUUCUCUAAUGGUGCAUGUAGGCUAGUAUAUCCAUUAGGCAUACACUAGUUAUCACGACUGACGUACCAUGAAAUGCAGCCUAGCUUAGUAUCCGCACACGAUAUCGCUAGUCCAUCGAUCGGUGCAUUGUCCGCACCUUGGUAAUCCAUCAGGCAUGGAGGCAUUAGGAGUAGACCUAACCUUGUCACUCGAGGCAAUGUUAGGUCUAGUCCCGGGUUACUAAAUUCGGCAUAUGUUAACUAAUCGUACUACUCUACAUUUUCACUCUACAGACUAGACUUCUGUAAUGUAACAAUCUCUGUAGUUAGUAGACAGUGGAUUAUUCCCUUGGCUUACAUAUUCUCGAGCCUCUAGCCGGUACACACAUAAUCCUUGGGAUGUAUUCCUGAAUGUGAAUACUCGACGAUGGUGCUUCUCGAAAGGAUAUGGAUUGGGCGGUGAAACACUGGGCGAAAGAGUUUACUUUGUGAAUGCUGAGUUUGAAGUCUGACGGGCAGUAGUCUUCGUUGGGAGCAGCUUCGACCAAAGUUGCGGGAAUACCAAAGGGCUACUCGAUGGACCAGUACUUCUCUCUUGGUAAAGGAAGAUCGAUAGGGAGAUCGAUCACUCUUUGGAGUGUGCCCAUGAUAUGGAAAGAGAAGGCUAGCUCGGGUGUGCGACACUUGAGCGCCGUGCGGGGAUUUUCAAGGUGAAAAAGCUAACCCCGUGACAAGUGCUCGAUAUACACAUCAUAUACAUAUGCACUCAUAUCCACUAUCCAAGAAAACUCGCAAUCUGCUCCUUAUCAAGGUAGUUAUAGUAACACAUAAGUGCACCCAACCAUGAUAAUAACCACUCGGCACAAGAUUCUCAAUUAAAUCUAGUUUACAUCGCACAAUAGAUCAGGCUCAACUCAAGUACUCAACUCAUGUCAUGCGAGCAUGCUAUCAUGAAUCAUAAAGUGUCUAUAUAGAGUGGCUAUUUAACGUGACUACUAUGUCCAAUAUCAUAAUAAAUAUAUAGCUAUUAUGAUCAUGAAAUUUACAGUUUAAAUGACUAAUAAGUUUGCAAAAUUGCUAACUCAAUAAGAUUAAGAUAUCCCAAUCACAGUUUGUCAAUGCCUCAGGGGAUGAUGGUAGAAGUCAAAAAGAUGUUUUCUAUAGUCACCAGUUGUCCCUCGAUUGACUUAUAAGGUCCAAGCUUGGUCAGCCACCAUAUAGAAUUGAGUACCCACUGGUUGACCACCAGAACCCCAAAGCCACUCCAUUGUACCUAUGGCGGUCGACCACAAGGUUGCGGUCCGUCGACUGAAGGAUUGCUGUCUGUCGAUCAUGCAACAUUUAUAAUAGCAAAAAUAAGGUCAAAGCAUAUCAAACCAAACCCCAAAAGAUGCCAAGACUGCAAAACAAUCAAAAUUAGGGAAAAGAUAGCAAGCGAAGCACCCAAAAUUUCGAGCUCGGAGUCGACGAAUGGCUCGUUUGGAGAGCGCUGCGCCAUUAUCCAAUCCGGACUUUGUUAAAUUACAAAAUUAUACAGCAAUCCAGUUGUAUACAAAUAGAAAUAAAAUAGUCACAAUCUUACUAAAUAUUAUUAAAUAUUUAUAUGACUAAAAAGGAAGAUGAAACUAAAUACCAAAAGUUACGUAAGUUGGAGUCUAACCAAUAUAAGCGUAAUGUUCCAACUUUGAGCUUCCAACUAUGCAUUGGAAUUGUUGCGGAUAGGCCUUGAUCAUGGCACCAGAAUAGGCAAAAUAAGAUAGGAUAAUAGCUUGAGAAGAGAGUGGAAGUGACAAAGAAAAGUAACAAGUAAAAGAGAAGAAUAAAAAAGAGAGAGAGGAGAGGAGAGAUGCAGAAGAUGUUAGAUAUUUUGCCUUCUUUUUUUGUUAUUAUUGGUUUGGUCCAUACACUGGGUUCAUGAAAAUUAACUGGAUGUCUGGAUUCCCAUUGGUGGAUUGUGAUUCAAGUUGGUGGUGAAGUAGACUCGGGCCGGUUCCUACGCACUACUCCUAAUUCAAGUCAAAGUUUGACUUGAAUUAGGAAUAGACACUACAAUAGAAUUAUGUUAUAAGGACAUAUUUUUGGGAUAUUUUUGUGUAAGUGUCUCAUUUAUGCCAAAUUUUUUUUAAAAAAUCUACUAAGGCCUAAAUAUAAAGCCAAAUCCAAUAAAAAAUAAAAAAUUUCUCUACUCAACCAAUCCCACCCAACCCACUCGGCCCGAUUAUAAAUAGAAAAGGAAAAAAAAAAAAAUUGAUCACCAUCUCCCUUUCCUCUCCUCCACCGCAACAGCCGACGAGGUAGGGUUCCGGUAGCUGGAGUUCGGCCGCGAGGAUCUCGUAGGGACUGUAGAGGGCUACGAUAGCCAUGUGUCCCUCUGCCACAUGUCUCUGGAGGAGUGGGUGUCAAAUUUGAAGGUGGCCCUACAUAUAGCGACCUCACAUAUAUAAAAAUUGUUGGUAAUUUAGCCAGCAGUACUUUUUUUGACCUAUACUGAUAUUUAAAAGUGUCGUUCUAUACCGUUUUUGUUGUAAUGAGGAUUAGGCCGAUAUAUACACACACACACACAUGCGGUGGGUGGAUCCAAUAGCAAGGUUUGAAUUAAUUAGCAACCCGGGCUUAAGGACGUACGGCAGCAAAAGGAGAAGGUGCAUAGCAGCCUUGCAUGCAACCUCAGGAUUGAAGUUGGCAGAAGAGCAGCUGUUCUCAAUCAAUUGUUUGAGCGAUUUGGAUUCAUCAAAGCAACGGCAUAAAGCAAGGAUUUAAGUAUUGUGGCACGGAGUCGUGCCGGAAACUCACUGGCACAGUACGGCACGAUGCAUGCCGGGCCGUGCCGAUGCUUGCCGGUCACAAAAAAUUCAUGUUUGUCGACAUAUAAUAGCAUAAAAUAUUUAUUUUCUUUAGCAAUAAAACUUACUAAUUUAAAGAAUAAAGGGUUUUGAGCUAUGUCAUCGGCACGGGGGCUGUAUCAUGCUAAUAUCUUAUUGACACAAUACGGCAUGGUUGAUAUAGCCCGUGACAAUGGGCACUUAAAUCCUUGGCAUAGAGGAUAUUGGUCAAAAUAUUUUAUACUCAUCUAAUUUAGUCUUCUCAAUUUUUUGAAAUGCUAUUUUCGAUGAUAUCUUGGAGUUUUCGUUGGAAUGAGAGAAAGACAGGAUUCACUAUAAGGCUCUUGAUUUUUUAUCUAGAGAAGACGUAAGGUGUAAGCUUGUACUUCUAUUGCUUUGUAUAGUAGAAUACAUCUCUCUCACUCUUUCCGUUGAUGUAGGCAAUUGUCAAACCAUGCAAAUUUUGAUUUCUUCUUUCUGUAUUUAUUUCUUUUACCAUUCGAUUUUCUCUAUUUUUUUAUGCAUCUCUAUUGGUAGGGCAUGACAGACAAUCCAUCCGAUUCCUAGCAAGAGAAGAAGAAGAUAAAAUGAGAAGGAUGGGGGGAGCUUCAGAUUAGGGUUGGGAGGGGAUAAGUAGAUUUGGCAAACUAGCGGCUUGGGCAAUCCGUGGGCAGGUCAGUGUACUCGUCAGUUAUCCUGGUGUGGAUAAAAUUUAUCCGAAAAUUUUUGGAUAGCAAUCAUCCUUACCCAUACCCGCCCAUGUGCAGGUGCUUGGGUAUAUAAGUUACCUACAAGGUAAUCUUUCUAUUUUCAUACUUUUCAAAUACAAACAACAUAUAUAUUAUAAAAGAUUAAAACUUAACUUAUUAUUUAAAAUAUUAUAACAUAUAACAAAUAAUAAUGAAAAGAAUGACACCACAAAAACUUAGUGUUAGGUUCUAGGAACAUGUAAAAUAAAAAGAGUAUUCACUAUUUCAUUUUUUAUUUUUUUUAAAAAUAAUAUAAGCGGGUACCAUAGGUAUUGCGGGUUGCCCAAAAUGCUUGUAAUUUAACAGUACCCUUUCAUUGUAUCCAUAAUUUUUUGGAUAAGAAAAACUAGUACCCCAUACCCACAAACUUGCGGAUAAACUGUAGAUACCCGCAGGUAUAGGUUGAGAUUGCAAGGUUUAGGGAUAAGAAGAGAGAGAGAGGGAGAUGAGGUGUGCGCAUUGUAAGAGGGAAAGGACACUUCUUCUCUCCCUGCAUAAUAAUAAGGGCUUGUUUGGUUCACGAUUUGUAAUAUUCUAAUAGUCAUUCUUAUUUUCUAUUAAAAAUAUUCAAAUCAUUGCUAUUCAACUCAAGUUGGAUAGUCGUAAAAGAUUUUUGUAAAGUAAUGGAAUUAUUCAUUAUAAUUCCAAGGGAAUAGGAAUACUUGAUUGUCAUGGGCAGGAGAUUCUCUCAUUUUCAUAGUUAAUAGGAACCAUUAAUUAGUAAGCCAUUAAUAAGAAUAUACUAGUUCUUAACAAUUUUCCAACCCAAGUGGUUUGAUAAGUUAGUGAUAAGCUUGUCUGUAACGUAUCGAAACCUCGAUAGCGAUUAUCGAACUUUAGCCAAAUUUGUUAAAGUGCCGAGAGAAAUGGAUGUACAAAGUCCGGUUGACAUUCCAACAAUGUUGGAAGGAUCAAAGUCGAGUCCCGAGAGUGUUAAGCAAGUUUUAGCAUUGUUCGGCGUGAUUUAAAAGUGAACAAUGCGAAAGAAAUAGUUGGGUAUGUUCCAUUGAGCGUUCCAACAAUAUUGGAAGGGUUAAAAAGGUGUUCUAAAAGAGUUAUAAGGGUUUUAGCAUCGACCAGCGCGAAAUAGAAUCGAAAACGGUGCAAAACCAGCAUUCUGGGCAAAGUGUACCGGUACAACCAUCGAGUUGUCACCGGUAUAGCCCUGCAGACCAAGAAGAGCUUGCUCUCGGGUUUGGGAGAAAAAUCGGAAGUGUACCGGUACACUUUCAAAGUGUACCGGUACAAAUCCUGCGUAACCGAGAAACAUGCUCUCGGGUUGGCCUCUGCGCAAUCGUGUACCGGUACAAAUCCAAUGUGUACCGGUACACUUUGGUCUGGCAGCACCAAUUUGGUCUGCUGCAAAUAAAAAGAAAUGAGAGCCUAGAUGCAAUUGUAGCACCUUAUAAAACACCCCAACACCUCUCUCUCCCUCUCCCACAGCCAACACACACACCUCAUCUCUCAUUUCUCUCUUUCUCUCUCUCUAGAUCACUUCAAAGAGCUAGGAGGUGAAGGAGGAGAAGGCUUUGGAGGGAUUUUUGGUGGUUUUGAAGGCUUGGGAUCUCUCCUACAAAGUAGACAUUGGAGAGCUUUGGGCUAAGGUGAGGUGUUUUGUGACAAUAGGUCUAGGGUUUGAUUUUAUGCCCUAGAAAAUUAGGUUUUGAUCUUCUCUCAUGUAUAAAAAUCUAGUAAUGGCUUAGAACACAUGAAAAUCCUAGUUUUCUUCAUGUGCUCUAAUGGUGAAUUCCUAGGGUUUGCUUAUUAUACCCUAGAAAUGGUUUAGAUGGUUCUAAAUGAGCUUCUAGAUGUUGGACAAGCUCUCUUUUGUUUGUUUUAGAGAUCAAAACCUAGGUUUGAGCAAAUGGUAUUGUUAGGGCACCAAAUUUGGGGCUUUUGCCCUAGGGAGUUUCUAAGGUAAAUUGACAUUGGAGAAACCUAAUUGGGGGUAUUCCCGACACGUUGGGCAACUAGGUUUGACGUUACGAAAAGCCUAUGUAGGAGUUCUAAGUAUUAAGCCUAAUUUGGCUUCGUUUUGCCGCAGGCGAUAAAGUAGGGCUUCAAAAAUCUCAAAAAAUUCACCGUAGCACCUUUGCAACCAUACAAGGUGGGUGGUGCAUACCAAGGAUCUCGAAAUUCCUUUUAUGUCUAAAGUGUCAUAUUUGAGAAUAUGAAUGUAUUGAGCAUAAUGCAUAGGGGUAAUUGUGAGCUUCUUAUCGCAUGUUGUGGGUUCAAAUGCAUGUGAAAUGCUAGUGAGACAAUGAGAAUUUAUACACCCUAUGUAUGCAUGACAAGUGACAAGAACCUAGUAGACUUAGUAAACAAAUAUGACAUGUGGACAUGAGUCGUAGAGAGUGGCAUCUACUAGUUUUGAACACUUAGAGAACAAGUGUGGCAUCAUUGUAUGAGUACAAAGAACAAAUAGUGUAUAUGACACUAGUAAAGGUUAACGAAUGCAAGUAUACAAAGGUAGUGACAUUAUGACAUAACAACCUUAGAGUUAAGGGUCAUAUGUGCAUUGUUUUCUUAUAGUUUAGGAAUGGAUUGAACUUGACAUCCUUAUAGUUAAGGAUUGGAUCAUACUCACCUGUAACUCCUUGCUCGAGGGUGGUAGCUCCCCCUCAGGCGAUGUGCUCCGGAAUUGUCAUCACUGGUUCGUAGCGAGUAUCUCCCCAGAGGACGGUCCCGUCGGGUUGUAGCGAGUAUCUCCUCGAUAGUAGGGAUUUGGGUUGGUGAGUUUGUUGAGGGCGAAACUUACAGGUUAGCCAAGAGAUUAGGCAAUGAAAUUAUAAUCUUGCAUUGAUCAUGAGCAUACUAUUGAGCAUUGCAUUGAUUAUUGUUUAGGCAUAUUAGCUGCAUUUGUAUAAUUUAGUUACUAUCUAUAUCUCUUUUCUUCUAUUAUGCCUGAUUUAGACCUAGUGGGAAAGUCGGCGUGGUUGGUUGCCGAACCCACUGGAAAUUUUAUUUUAGUUCUCACCCCACUAUUUCCACAGAGCCGGAACCGAGCGAACCGGCAAACGACCGCGGUAAGGGCAUCGUGCCCUAGAUAGAGACCACCCGAGAUGGUUUCAUAUUUUGAAGUUGCAUUCCCUUUACUAUCAUCUUUUGUAUUUGAUGAUUCUAGAUGCUUAUGAGUAUGAUGUAAAAGAUAUUUACUUUAAAUAUCAAAAGUUAUAUUUUGGAGUAUUGUGAUGUAAAAAAGAAAUGAUGAAAGAGCAUGUAAAGGAACUUGAUUAAAGUAGUAUACAUGUAUGUGAUUUAAAGUUAAUCAUAUUACUUGUUGAAGUUUAGUUUAGUACUUUCACUUUGGCUAUUGCUUGUCCCCGUGCAAGCCAUUGUGUUUGCUUCCGCAUGUGCAAAUUUUACUCUAUUGAUACUUGUUGUUGACCCUUGGGCGGAUAGGGGAGGCUCUGUCCAUUCGGCGUCUGUUCGACGGGUCCGAACCGGCCAAAUUGGACCGGGUUCGGGGCGUGACAUUGUCAUUCCAAAUAUAAAAUACAAUAUUUCUGAAAUAUUACAAACCUUGAACCGAAUGACCGACAAUAAUAAUAACGGAAAGAGAGAGAAUAAGUGGGCGUAACAAUCGAGGUUGGAGUUGCCUAGCUCGUUUGUCUGCGAUCACCAGUCGGUUGACUGCUAGGCGACUAAAAAAUUAGUUCCAAAUAAUAUAAAAUAUAAUAUAAAAUAAAAUUUUUCAUAUUCAUACUAACAUUUUAAAAAUUUCAAAUUUAACUCGAAAUUUAAGUAAAAUGCAUCAAAUAAAAGUUCCAACUAGGAAUUAAACUAAAAAGUUUAAGUCACUUGGGGUGGAGUGUUUUAGAAAGGAUGCACACAUAAAUACAUAUUAUUUUUGGUGAUUAAGUAGACCAUUCUUAUUAUGUUUAGUCUUCAAUAAUUAAAUCGUAAAAGGUAAAUUUGAUAAUUUUCAAUUUAUUUAAAUUUUGAAUUUUAAGUUAAUUUAAAUUAGUUAAGUUUUAACUGAUCCAACAGUCGACUGCGGGAACUCCUUUAAUUGAUUGUCUGCAACCACCACCUACUAGCUACCUCUCUUCACUAGUUUUCUCUCUUCUCUCAAUACAACCCUCUACGCUCUCUUUUUCUCUUCCCCUCACGUGACCUCUUUUUUCCUAUCCUCCUCGUUUUUUUUCCAUCGCUUUCUCUCUUUUCUUUUCUCACUUGUUCUUCUUCCUCCUCCUUACUCUUCACUCCAUCACUUCUUUCUUUGUUUUCCCUCUUCUUAACUACACCGGCUCCUAUUUCUACUCUUGAGGCUUUUAUUCCCAUCUUGCGGUUAUUUUGGAAUCAUGGCCGAGGUUCCCCAUCCAUGAAAGUUCCUAUUGAUUCAGGGCCAAGCGUGAGAGCCUAGAGUUGGAGCACUAAACUCUCUUUGCUUAGACUUCAAUUUGGAUAAAACUUGUAACUAAGCCCAAACCCUUAUUUUUGUUGUAUAAAUGAUGUCCAUUGAUGUUUCGGAAGUUUUUUUACAAAUUCUUGAUUGUAUUUCUAUUUGGGAAUGAAAUGAUUGUGAUAUUUUUUUGGUUUGUGAAGUUUGGGUUUGAACUGCAGUUUUCAGGUACCUUGUGAUCAACCGACUAUACCUCCCCAUGGUCGACUGACGCGGUUCCUAAAGGAAACUAUAGUGUCGGUUGCCUAAGCAGUCGACUGCUCUUAUAUCCUGGUUGACUGGUCGUGAGGUGACGGUUGGCUGUUGAUGGCCCAAUGAGCAUGGACUUUUUGAUUUUGUUGCAGUAUUUUUAGGUGGCUUCAUUAAGAGUUGUGAGAAAUUUUAUUUAUUUAUUUAGUUGCAAUUUUUAUGUCCUUCUAGGCUUGAUCGAGGAUGCCUCCCUCUUUUUUACUUCUCGUCUUCCAAGGAUACCGACGAUACUAGUGAGUCGGAACUAUCUCUCCAAAUUAUACCACUAAAAAUUUUUAAAAAUUCUUCUUUUUAAAUUAUUGUUAUAUUCGUUUUAUUAUCCAUAUCUACUUGCAUGAAAACUUGUAUAUGAUAACUAUACUUCAUAAGCAUGUUAUACCUAUUAAUAAAUUGCUCUUAUAUAAACUGUUAGAUGCAUGUCUUUUUAGAAUUUGUUUUGAUUGCUUAGUUUUAUCAUUACAAAUCUAUGUGCAAUACAUGUCGAUAUUAGUUGGAAUAUAUUACUUUAUAAGAUGCAUCAUGAAGAUAGAAUUUGUAAUUGACAUUCUAUUUCAAUUGUUAUUAUUUGAACAUAGGAAUCUCAACAUUAGGCUUUACUAUCUAAAAUUUUUGACUGAAAGAUAUCCCUCACCAUUUAUGACCUUUUAGCUACAUUAAAUGUGUCACAACCCAAACCCCAGCAACGAUACUGUCAUAAAAUAUCUCAACAGCCAUGCUGUCAUAUAAUAUCUCAACAGGCUCAUCUGCUCGAGUCACAAAGUCAAGGUGCUGGAGAAAUCUCCUCAACCAAACAACCUCAUGAAUGGUUGCUAAAUAAGCAAUGUACUCCGCUUCCAUGGUAGACAAGGCAAUGCAGCUCUGCUUCCUACUGCACCAGAAAAUUGCCUUACCUCCAAGCAUAAACAUAUAGCCUGAAGUGGACCUUCACUCAUCUCUAUUACAGCCUCAAUUAGCAUCACUAUAUGUUUUCAAUCUCAAGUUCCCAGCUUGUAAGCAGAGAAUGAGAUCACUAGUUUCCUUGAUUGUGUCCUGGGUUGCUCUGAUAACGACUUACCAAGCGAACAACGAAGCAGAUGUGAAAUCAAAUACACAUCAUAGUGUAUAUCGAGCUGCUAAUUGCACUUCAUAAAGUACCCUACUCAUUUGUGCUUUUUCUUUAUCCAUUUUAUGGCACUGAUCAAGACUCGAAGUGUAGUCAAGUACAGAUCAUAGCAAGCUGCCAAUUGCACUCGCAUAAGAGAUCUUACUCAUUUGCUCUUUUUCUUUAUCUAUUUUAGGGCACUGAUCAAGACUCAAAGCAUGAUUUUUCUUUACCGGAGUGUCAACGAGCUUACUAUGAUGCAUUGUAAUGCCGCAUUUCUAUAAGGGUCACCCAUCCUAGGACUACUCUAGUCCUAAUAUGCUUAACUCUCUUAACCUUUUGGACCUAGCCACCGCCUAAAAUGUUAUAAUCGGGUUAGUAGGUUUAGCCAUAUUAUAUCUUAUAUAUAGAACUAUUCCAAAUUCUGAAGUGUCAAGGCUCGUCUCGCCAACCCUAGCCGACUUUGUAGGGAGUCGCACUCUACCCACAACGGUCACCAACUGGGGAACCAUGUGUAACAUAUUGAAACCCGGAAGAAAUUGUCGAAUUUUAGCCAAAUUGGUUAAAAUUGUCGAAAGAAAAAGUUGGACAAGUUCCAAUUGGCAUUCCAACAAUGUUGGAAAUGCUAAGAAUGAGUUUAAGAGGUGUUAGAAUGUUUUUAGUAUCGAAUGGCGCGAAACAGAAUCGAAAACGGCGCAAAAUGGCAUUCUGGAGCAAAGUGUGCCAGUACAACCAUCGAGUUGUACCCGAUACAGCAUUGCGGGCCGAGAGAGAGAAGCUCUCGGGUUUGAGAAAAUUUGACUGUGUUACCGGUAACACCCCUGGUGUGUACCGAAACACUUUGGUAAAAAUCCGAGGGAAAUGCUCUCAGGUUUGCCUCUGCGUAAUCGUGUUACCGGUGACAGCAUCCCGUAUACCGGUACACUUUGGUCUGGCAGCAAGAAUUUGGCCUAUUGCAAAUAAGAUUAUUUGGGAGGCCUAGUUGCUAUUGUUGCAACAUGUUAUAGCCCAAAACACCCCCUCCCACCUGUUUACACAGCAACACUCCUCUCUCCCUUAUUUUUUCCUUUCUUUCUCUAGAGCUCAACUCUAGGGCAAGGUGGUGAAGGAGGAGAAGGGAUUUUCGUGGGUUUUGGAGGCUUUGGUGGAUCUUGGGGCUCUCCAACAAGAAGGAUCUUGGGUGAGCUCGUGGCUAAGGUAAGUUUUGUGCAUGAACUCCUCUAGGGUUAGGAUUUAAACCUUAGAUUUUGGAGUUUUGGUCUCUUUAGAGGCUUUAGAAGCAUGCUAGAGCCUUGAACACCAUGAAAACAUGGUUUUCUUGGAACCCUCUCAUGGUGGAUUGUUAGAAUCCAAAGUAGAUGCCCUAGGAAUGGUUCUAGAGGCUAGAUAAUAGUAUUAGAGAGCUUCCUAGAUGAAUCUAAGCUAUCAUUUGCUUAGAAAUGAGAUCAAUCUAGAAGAAAUUUAAAUAUGGCAUUGUCAGGGCAUGGAUUUGGGGCUUUUGCCUCCGGUUGUUUUCGAGGUAAAUUGACCUCUUGGAAACUAAUUGGGGGUAUUCCCGACGCGUGGGACAACUCCGUUUAACAUUACGAAAAGGUUAAGUAAGAGAUCUUGUAUAUAGGGCCUAAUUCGGCACUAUUUUGGAUAUAGGUCGCAGGAGAGGCGUCCUAAAAUUACGAGAGUCGAACUACAACCCAUCUACAAUAUUUAAGGUGGGGGGUGCACGCCGGAAUCAUCGGAUUCCACUUUAUGUCUAUUUUCACCUUUGUUGAGCAUACUUGUAUAUGGAGUCAUUCAUGCAUAUUAGGGUAGUUCACAUGUGAAUGAUGGUUUAAUUUCAUUUAUAUGUUUCUAACGUAGUUGAACAUGAAAAAUGAUUUGAGCCAUAGCGGACAUGUAUGUUGAGACCCUAAACUUGUGUGAAUGUGAGACUUGGACCAAGAUAAUAGUAAAUAAAGGUGACAUUGACAUUAGAGACUUGAUUGGCAUCGAGACAUGACUCGUAAACAAGGUUUAACAAUUAGUGGCAUUGUGAUGAGAAUGACUUAGAAAAUGGCAUGAACAAAUGGGUAGAAACCUAUUAUGAAAAUAGUAUUGUGACUAGUGGCUAUGUAUCCUCAAGUUGAGGAUUGGAUCGAUACUCACAUUAACUAGGCUUGAGGGAGGUAGCUCCUCCUCAAGCGGUGUACUCCAGAGUGUAGAAACCACGGGGAAAGUACCCCGUUGAUGAACCCUCGGUUGGUUGAGCCUAAAGCCUCCCCCGGUAGACGGGAAUUAUGAUGGUGAGUUUUGGGGUUAACAAGGUUAACCGGCAAGAUUGGGUAAAAGCCAAAGUAAAGUAUGGAACAAGCAUGCAUGCAUGAGCAUUCAUUAUUCGAUUAUAUAUCCACUGACAUAUUUCUUGCAGGUAUAGUAUUAGCAUUAGUAUUGAUUACUUUUCCAUUUCUUUAAAAUACUUAUGCCUGAAUAGACCUAGUGAGUAAGUCGGCGAGAUCGGUUGCCGAACCCACUGGGAACUUCGUUGUAAUUCUCACGCCACUAACCCUACAGGUCCGCGCCCGAGCGAGGCGGCGGAGGACCGAGGCAAGGGUAUUGCGCCAUAGCUAGUGGCCACCGGGACUUAUGCAUUAGUCAUUCCUUUUGCCUACAUGUAUCAACUUUUAUUUUGUUGAUUUAGAAUUGUAAGUUGAAAACAUAUCAUGUAUUUUGGUGAAUGACAAAAAUGUAAAGAAUUAUGAUUGAAUGGAAAAAAAAUGUAAUAGUUGUAGUUUACUAGUAUUUGGUUAAAAUGUAAUUAAAUAUCAUAUAUGGUUGUAUGUUUAGCUUAGAGCUUUCGCUUCCGUUGUUGCUUGCCCUCGUGCAAACCUUAUAUAAUUGAAAAAUCUCUUUGUUGUCUGUUUAAUUAUACAUGCUGUUUGAGCCUUGGGCGGACAGGGGAGGCUCUGUCCGUUCGGCGUCUGUUGACAUGGCCCGAGCCCGACCAAAUUGGCGGGGAUUGGGCCGUGACACCAUGCUUUACCUGUUGUACAAUCCUAACUCAACUGAGACUCAUCUUACACUUUUAGCUGGUGAUUGGCUACAAUAUCAACUGUGAUGCGCUACAUCCUAGGGGGAUCACCCAUCCCAGAGCUACUCUAGCUCUACCACCCUUAACCUUCUUAACCUUUUGGGCUUAACCACUGUCCAAAAUGCAAUUGUUGGGUUUAGAAACUCACAAGCACUGGGCAAUGUGAGAUUCGUCUCAUAGACUUAGCCGACAUUAUGGGAAGUCACUCUCCACCCACAACGAUCAUUAAUUGGAGAACCACCCAACUUCUCAUGAGGGCACCACGCUUAACUCUCCUAACAACAUGGGCCUAACCACCGCCCAACAUAUUAUAGUGCCAGAUUCUUAGAAACUCACAAGCACUAACGAAUGUGUGACUUGCCUCGUUAGCCUUAGCCAAUCUUGUGGGGAGGCGCAUUCCACCCACAAUAAUUAUCAGCUAGAGAGCCGUGCUCUACCCGCUAUGUGACCCUGGCUCAGCAAAGACUCAUCUCACAUUUUCUAUUGGUGAUUGGCUCUAAUACUAACUGUGAUGCCCUACUUCGUAGGGGUCACCCAUCCUACGACUACUUUAGUCCUAGCAUGCUUAACUCUCUUAAUCUGUUUGUCUUAAUCAUUGUCCAACGUGCUAUAGCUAAGUUAAGAGAUUUAACCCUAUUAUAUCUUCUAUAUAGGACUAUUCCGAAUCUUGGGGUCUCACACAAAUUGACAGGUAAAGGUGAGGAUAAAGUUUCUUUGAGGAUAUGUGAGAACAUAUGUUAACGGUUGUUCUGGAAUUACCUACUUUGAUUGAGAUAACUUGCUUUCUGAGAAAGUUAAGUUGCGCAACAAAAUAGGGAUAUUUUUACAAUAUCCCUUAACCAAGCUAGGUCUUAGGGUCCAACUUCUCAUUCCAUCAGUUUCACAGUAAAAGACUCGUCUAUUUUUUUUGGCAAAUGUUAUACUAUUGCUUCUUGAAAUAGAGAAGUCAUUGUAGAAACCUUACCAAAUGCCAUUAAGUCAAUAAUUCUAAGAAGAUUUAUCUUUCUAGAUUACACUUAAUUAGGCAAACAGAGUAAAGUAUGUCUGCUUCUAUUUCUCUUGCUACUUUUGUUCUAUUUUGUCCCCCCCUCUUUAUGCUUGCAAUUGAAUCGAAAAACCAUUCUUGAUUUGUUAGAAUUAGACCUUUCUAGUGUACAAGUAAGCUUAUUAUAAAGUGUGAAACAUAUUUAUUUGUUUCCAGUUUCUUCACUUCUUUUCUGAUAAAAUAGUUUUUUGUAUUUUUUUAUUGACAGAAUAUGAAGUUCACCUGUCAGGAUAAAAUUGUAGAUAUUUAUAUAUUAUUUGGUUGGUGUUACAAGGGAUGAUAUAAUUGCAAAACAACAAUUAAAAUAUAUGAUAAUACUUUCUAGUGCGUAAAUUGUGGUAAAAAUUAUCAAACUCCUAUACCAUGGUAAUAAUUUUACUUACCUUUCUUUGAUCAAAUUCUAAUUUUAAAAUUUAUUAAUUUUAAAGAUUGAUCAAUUAAAAUUUUAAUUGCACAUUAAUUUAAUAUACAUUGAUGUAUUUAUUAUAAAAAAGGGUACAAAUUAAACACUAUUGUUGGCGAUGGAAGUGGAACAACUAAUUUUACUAUUUUUGGAAAGUUGGCACAAGAUUUAGUUCAUAUUCAUGCUCAAAAUUUAGCUACCUCACCGAGUUCGGAUCAAUUUACACUUGCUCCCGUGAUUAAAACAAUUAUUGGUCAGAAAUAUAUUUUCCAAAUUGUACUUGGCGCCUGAAAAUUUAGGUCAAGUAUACCAUCUUCUAAAGUCAUCAAAAUUUUUUCACUACUUCUAAAUACCAAAGGAAAGUCCCCUGCAACGAAAAAUUUGUUUAUCAAAAGUGACGAACGGCUUCUUUCCCCUGAUACCAGCAACCAAAUUUGCAAAAAAUUAUUUGCAGAGGCAUUGCCAAACACAAAAAUUUCAUCUGGAUAAUUCAAUUAUACAUUCUAUACUUAUAAUACUUUGCGUGAGUGUAAUUUUUUAAAUCUUUACAUAUGAUUUUAUGACCAUCUCUGGACAAUUUACUAAGGAUUUAUCUGAAAUGCAGCUUAAUAAAAAACAUUGACUUAACCCAGCCUGCCUUACGUAAAUAAACUGUCUUACUUAACUAUGUGCUAUUUAUAUAUACCAAAGAAUAUUUUUUAUUAUUAUUCUAAUUGAUUUGUAGGUUUAAUGAAGCUGUCCAAGCAAAUGAAGUCGAGAAAUGAAGAAUUGCAAUUCACACCUCAAUCCAUUUAUAUAAUUAUAAUCUUUAUUUUGUAUGGACUUUGAUAGCUAUAAAUAUUUUGACUAAAUAUUUGUUAUCCACUUACCCAAUUUUUUUAAACAUGCCUACACUUUAUUAAAUACAAAGGUAGAUUCUAAAAUGUAAGAUACUACAAAACUGAAGAUGGAAAUCAAACUGCCGACGAUGACAACCAAUGAACUACAACUCCUCUCCCGUAAACAGCGGGAACAAAAAAUUGAAGCACAAAAUCAAUGCCUACAUGUAAACAAUGGGAACAAAAAAUGUAGCAUAAAAUCAAGGCUAAAUUACAGAAAACCUCCUUGUCAAUACCCGUUUUUUUACUUUCCCCCCUGUCAUUUAAAAACCUACAGUUUGCCCCAUUGAAAAAUGAGAAAUGUUCACUUUGGCCCCCUACCGUCAGUAUUCCGUUAGGGUUCCGUUUAUAUCCUAUUAUUAUAUAUUUUUUAUAUCCAAAAUACCCUCUCCUCCCUGCCGCCUCCUUCCUUGCUGCCCUACACCGCCGCCUCGCCCUCGCCCACCUCUCCAUUCGCGUCCACACACAUGCUCUCGUGCUCCUUCGCCGUCUCGCCCUCGCCCUCGCACGCCUCUCCGUCCAUGCCCACUCCAAUCUCCUCCCUAUCGUCGCCGAAAUGGAGGGGCAACGCAAGUGCAGGAAGAGCGGGAAAGCAUGUGGAGGAAAAUGGAGUUGGAGCUGCGGUUGAGCGAGUCGCGAAAAACGGAAGAGGAGAGGCGACGGCUAAGCGAGGUUGGGGGCGAAGACGAAAAUGGUGAGGGGCAUUUUGGUCAUUGUGUCAUGGUGUACCCCACUGUGAACAUUUCUCAUUUUUCAAGGGGGCAAAGUGUAGGUUUUUAAAUGACAAGGGGGGAAAGUGAAAAAGAGGGUAUUGACAAGGGAAUUUUUUGUAAUUUAGCCUAAAUCAAUGGUUGCAAGAAAGAUGAGAAGCUCCAUAACAAAUCAGGCGGUGGAAAUCACACUAAACAGCAUACAUGAAUGGAGAUGCAAAUAAAUAAAUAUACUCUACUCAGACUCCCUUGACCAUCGAACAUUAUCAGACUGGUGCUGAAGCCUUCUUUCUUAGUAGUGCUUAUUGAGUUAGAACCCAUUUGCACGACAAAACCAUCCUUAGCACAAAUGAGAGCAACCGAUUGCCUACAAAGUAGGCCAUCCAAAGUACCUCAUAACCAGCCAAGAAGGACUGCGGCCCUCUCAAUUAUCGCAACCAUCUGAUAUUUAAAGCAGAGGUCAUCAUAGCAUGGGGGAAAAGAGGGGUAGCGAUAAAAAAAGUAGCGAAAAACUGCAAAUUUGCGUAAAAGUAAGAAUAUAAAGGUGGUUUUGCUAAACACCAACAGCCGAAGUACCAAGAGAACCUCGGCUUAUCCCCCAUAAACAAGAAAAAAAGGAAAAAAAAUUGAAGCAUAAAAUCAAUGACCGAAGUAUAAAAUCGAUGCUUCUAAGAAAGAUGAAAAGCUUCAUAAAAUAUGAAUGGGUCCAGUAAACAACGGGAACCGAAAAUUGAAGCAUAAAAUCAAUGACCGAAGUAUGAAAUCAAUGCUUCGAAGAAAGAUGAAAAGCUCUAUAGUAAAUUAGCUUGUGAAAAUCAUACCAAACAGCAUACAUGAUUGGGUAUGGAAAUAAAUAAAUAUACUCUGCUCAGACUUCCCCGAUCGUCAAAUAUUAUGAGACUGGCAACGAAAGCUUUUUGAUUAGUAGUGCUGACUAAGUUAUAACCCGUGUGCACACAGAACCAAAUUACCCCUAGCACAAAUGAGACCCACCGGUUGCCUGCAAAGCAAGCCAUCCAUAGUGUCCCUAUCGCCAGUUAAUAAGGGCCCAGUCCCUCGAAAUUAUCGAAACCAUUCGACAUUCAAAGGAAACAUCAUCAUAGCAUGUACAAAAAUGGAGAAUGCAUAGGGAAAGAAGCCGAAAAUUUAGUACCCAAGGGCUUGUUGCCACGUACUUUUUUUUUUGUUUCAGUAUCCUUUGAAUACCUGGGUAUUUUACAUUAUUGUUUUGAGAAGCUUUUACGGGGAAUAAGAUCGAAAGUUUAGUACACAAAGGCUUGUUGUUAUGUACAUAUGUGUUUUUUUUUUCUUUCGGCAGCCUUUGAAAACCUGGUUAUUUUACAUUAUUGUUUUGUGGCUUUGCUCAGGUAAGGCUCUUGCCGUUCACCUUUCCUACAGCAUGAUUUUACAAAAAAAAAGAAGAAAAUCACGUCCUGGAACCCGCAAGACCCUUUUCUGGUUGCAAUCGGAUUCCAUUAGUAAUGUUCUAGAGUGUCUAUAUAAUAUAUUUAAAUUAUAGGACGAACCAGUAGUUAAAAAAGCACGGUUUAGACACCAAAACGGUCGUAGAACCACGGUUCCGACAUAUUACUCCUCACUCAGAAAAGAACAGCACAAAAUAUACUAAGGCAUGAGUACCGGCUCCAUAGUACAAAAGAAGCCGGUUGCACAUUCCAAUACUAAAAGGUAUGGAGUGUAGAGCUAAGAAGCAGACCCUGCUUCGGAGGGGCAAGUCGCUGUAGCAGCUCGAUCAGCACAUAGACAGUUGAUGGUCUCAUGACAAUCAUUGAUUUCACGGCGCAUUUUCACCAGCUCAGUUAUAGCAUCCACUUUUUCAGAAACAGCAGUAGCAUAACAAUCUUUCAGAAGAUUGUGCUCCUGCUUAAGAGUCGUGAACUGCGCAAGCAAGUCACUAUUCUGAACCGUAACAUUAUCAUACAAACUUUUGUACAAUAUAAAAUCAUCGUAGUUUGUAUCUUUUAUUUGCAAACCGAGCUCAUCCUUCAUUCUUUGAAUAGCCACACGGGCUGCAUCUUCCUUUGCUACUACGUAAUCAAGGGAUAGAGCACCUCAAUUGCGCACAAUUUCAAUAACUGUCCCACUACGUGCAAUUGGAAGGUCAAUAUAUGCUAGAAACGAACCUUCAGCAACAAUAGUUACAAUGCACUCGGGCGUUUCAACGCCCAACUUCUCGGCAAUUUCAUCAAGUAAUCUAGUAUACGAAAGUUGAAUAACCGACAUCUCGGUAACUGUAAUUAAGAUGUAAAUUGGAGGGGAAAAACAAUCAAUUCAAAGAAAAGUGCUUAUAGCUACAUAAUGAGAGUAACCCCCCCCCCNNNNNNNNNNCCCCCCCCUCCCCCGUUUUCUAAAAAAUAAAAAUUUGUUAAGCGCAAGUGUAUAAAAAGUCAUAGAUGUCAAAAUAUGCUCUCAGCCAGCCGCGUGUUACAUUAAGCGAAAGUAAUAGUGUGGACAUUUGUUAAGUAUAAGAUUUUGAGAAGGCACCUUUAAUAAAGAAUUGUUAAGUCCAAGUGUAUAAAAAGCCACAAAUGGCAAAAUAUGCUCUCAGCUAGUUGCAGGCUACAUUAAGCGAAAUUAAUAGUGUGGACAUUUGUUAAGUAUAAGAUUUUGAGAAGGCACCUUUAAAAAUAUUAGAGCUGGUAGGCCCAAAGAAGGCCCUCGCAAGUUUCUCUUUUUUAAUGUGCUAAGUAUAAAGGCUUAGUGUUUCUUUUCCUGUUUAACUUGUUAAGUAUAAGGAUUUGAGAAGGCGCCUUUUCAAAUAACAAAUUUGGUAGCCCCAAAGAAGUCCAGUCAAACCACCAAAGUAAACAGGGGUAAAAAGCACAUCAUAAUUUAGUGCGAGCAGAUCGUCGCCCAACUCACCAAAAGUAAUGAGGGUGCAGAACAGCAGGCAUAAGGCGAAGCUUUUUAUUUCAAGCCAACCUUUGAAAUGUAGGCUACUAACUCAGGCGCCACCCACCGAAAAGGCUACCAGUUCAAGCGCCACCCACCGAAAAUAAUGAGAAAACAGAAGGGCAAGCACAAGUAGAGUAGAGGGAGCCUUAGAGGAGGACCUAGGAGCACACGAAAAACAAAGGUGCUAAUUGAUUCCCAUCUAUUAAAGGAAUGUGCUAAUACAGUUUUUUUUUUCCAUGACUUCUUGAUGGCUAAAAUAGACCUUUAAAACGGAGGCAAGCAGGUUGAGCUUUCUCUGCAUAGAUGCAGGCCUAUUUAUAGGCAAUUGUUGAGAGAGAGGCGAAUGGGGCAGAUUGCCUUGGUGGCCUUCCAUACAACCACGCAUUGAGGGGAAGAGGAUGAAGAAUGAUGGUGAAGUACAGAGAGGGACAGAGAUUCCAUCGUAGGGACGGGGUGAGGGCUAGGGUGGUGAUUAGACACGACAAAUCCUAUAGGCAUCAGGCAACCCACCUCCGGUGGCACCGAGGACAGUAGCGAGGAAAGAAGGAAAGGGAUGAAGGGACAGAAAGGACACGAUGCAUAUCGCGAACAGAGGGGAGAUGUACGGCAACCACGCCCGCACUUCGGGAUCCCUGACACACCGUCGGAGUGUGUGUACAGCCGAGAGAGAAGAAGGCCAUAGGAGAGGGCGACAACCCUCCGCACCUUGCGGGAUCUGCAAGAGCAACGUGUGCGACUUGGUAUAUGCCACAGCAGUAGCCAGAUCUAGGCCGAUCCCGCUCAAGGAUAGAGAGGGCGAACGGUUCGAACAGAGGAAGGACAGACCGUGCGAGAAAAGGGGGACACAACAUGUAACCCCUCCGAGAACUCAGCAGAUCUGGGCCGAUCUAGAGGGGAAACGAGGCGGGGCGGGCAGUAUGUAAGCCCGCUCAGCAUGGGCGAACGGAUUGGAGAGGGGGAGAACUGACCGUGUGAGGAAAGGAGAAGGCGACACGUAACCCCUGUUAGAACUGAACGUUUAAUAUAUCUAUAGAUAAUCCUAAUUGGAUUAUAAUUAAUAUUUAAAUCUGUUGGAAAUAAAUCAAUUAAGAUUUAAAUAUUUAUUGGAGUAGGAAUCCUAAUGUAAGGUAAUGAAUUCUCGAAAUACGAAAGUUAGACUUCAUCCAGAAUCAACCAAGGGUCGUGUUGGUGAGCUUUGGAAAAGCCAAAGAUGUCAAAAUCACCAAAAAUGCAUUGGAAACGAGUCCACGAGAGCAAAUAGUGCAAAACCUGCACUGGAGCAAAACUGCUCUCCAGGACCGGUCCGUGGCAAGGAGGGACCGGUCCUAUCGGCUGGUGGUUGCGGAGAUCCUUGAGGCAACCGGUCCCUGGCAGGGAGAGACCGGUUCCCGAACGUGAUCCCAGCGAGAAAAGCCAAAAUUUGGCUAAGUCCCGAAAAUCUUGCUCUCGGGAACCGGUCUCUCGGUCAAGGAACGGUCUCCCGGGGACCGGUCUCUCAGGGAAGGACCGGUUCCCGAACGCGUGACCCGAGCUGAAGCUCUCGGGGACCGGUCCCAAGUCGGGGAGACCGGUCCCUCUGGGCGAAAAAUGCCCAGUGAGGGGCAGUGCACAAGAGUAAAAGGUGGGGGACUUAUGUGGAUAUUGUUACAAUAUGAGGUGAAUAGGACCCCUCCCCUCUCUCAUCUCCUCAUUCCACUCUCCCUCUCUCUCACACUCUUUCUCCCUCUCUCUCUAGUAAGAGAAAAACAAAGGAAAGAACAAGAAGGAGAAGAAAAGAGAUGGAAAAGAAGAAAGAAAAGGAAGGAGAAGAAAAAGGAGAUCAAGCUUGGAAGGCUUUUGGACCUCUCCCUUUUCCUCUCUUCUCAUUUGGAGGCUACACAAAAGGUAGGCUUCUAACCCUAGCUUAUGAAACUUAGGGUUUUUAGGUUUUGGGCUUUGAAAAUGGGGUCAAAUGGACCCCCAGCACCAUUAUUGGUGGAUGAAAGCUAGAGUCAGGGUUUCAAAUUGCAAAUGGCAAGAUGGGAACCCUAGGGCUCCAAAAUAGGGUUUUUGAUAAAGUAUGAAUUGAUCUCAUUUGAGACCUUGUAAACCUAAUUGGUAGGUGCCAAAACGCGGAGGCGAAGUCGGAUUUAGCAUUCGUCAAGUGGGUCGAGAGCUAUCGGCAAAAUAAGGCCUAUUGAGCAUCAUUUUGGACCAAGAAGACCGAGACUUCAUCGUAACGUUCGUUGGAGGGCACUUCUAGAGCCUCCAUACCCUCAAGAGGUGGGGGGUGUCACCCCGUAGCAUCCGGAUUUCUCCUUAUGUCUAAGUUAAUUUUAUUCAUCAUAUGUUGAUUGUGCAUUAUAGGAUUAGUAGAAGCAUAUUUCCACUCCUUGCAUGCUUACUUAGUAGUGUAGCGGUAUGGGCUUAACACUUGGACUAGGGAGGCAUGAGGAUUGGGUCUUGAGACAUAGAAUCCUAUAGUGGCAAAAGUGAUGAACUUAGACAUAGCCUAGUAGAGUGGCAUUGACUAGUGUGGUAGAAACACUAAACUUGAACGAGUGGCAUGUCGACUAGUUCGAAGAUAUUACUACAACGACUGAACGAGUGGCAUCGAGUCUAGUGUAGUAAACAUGACAUGAUUCUUGGGAUAGUAGAGGUCUCGGCAUCUAGGAUGCAUUGUAUAUUGUGCAGCAGAGGCACAUUGACCCUUGUAGAUAAGGUAUCCUCUUGUGAGGAUUGGAUCAUACUCACUAGUCUGUUUUCGCUGUCGGUGGUCGCUCCACCGUGGCACGAGUCUCCGGAGUACUUCACUAGGGGCAGACGUAGUUGUCCCGCAGACGGUCUCGGUGUGCGAGGACAGCUUCUCCUCACCUAUGAGAUUGAGAGUGAGUCGAGGGUUUAACCUACGGGUUAACCAAGUAGAUUGGGUAAUAAAUAUGGAAUGCAUAGUAAACUUGCAUUAUUACCUUGAGUAGACAUAGUGUAUGUUGUAGUUUACAUUACUAUACACUUUUAUAUGCUCAUGACAUAAUACUAGCAUGAUAGUAGUUGUUGCAUACAUUAUUAUCAUUGAUGGCACGAUAGAGUAGUUGCAGUUUGUUUCUAUAUAUCUAUCUAUCUCUCUAUCUGUGCCAGCUUAGACCUAGUGGGAAAGCCGGCGGCGUCGACGGCCGAACCCACUGGGAACUAUAUUUAUAUAGUUCUCGCCCCAUGUGGUUUGGGGUACAGGUACACACAAGGGCGAGCCGAGCGAGGAUCGCGGCAAGGGCAUAGCGCCCUAAGUGAGUUUGUUAGUAGCUUUUCCCUUAUGCAUUAGAGUACCCCCGUAUACGAGACAUGAUGUGUAUUUUGGAUAGAUAUCGAAGAGCUACUUGUAUUUUUUGAAAGACAUGUAUUUACAUUUUGGCAGAUGAAAAUGUAAUGUAAUCAACUUAUGUAAAUGUUGAAUGAUUGUAAUAGCUAGAUAUUUCUCUCUUUAUACACUUGUACAUUCGCUCGUGGUUCUUGCUCUUAGUUAUAGUGCACUAGUGUGCAUCGUGAUUGAUCAUGUAUGUUAUUUAAGCAAUUCCUGGGUGCUUAAUUAUACUUGAUCAGGUUGUUUGGCCUUGGGCGGACAGGAAAGGUGCUGUCCGUUCGGCGUCCGUCCGCCGCGCCCGAACCGUGCCAAAUUGGUAGCGGCAUCAGGGCGGGGGCGUGACAGAGUUGUUGGUAUCAGAGCAAUUAAGAACAAGUAAAGAGAGAGUCUAGGAUGGACCUAGGAGACCUAGGUUGGCAACCCUAAGGUGAUAAGUACGUAAGAGAAACGUAAACCUAUAUCGGUUGAGGAAGAAUCCGAUUAGGUCGGAUCGAGUAUAGAUCUCUAGUGUGGCUAGAGAUAGAUCCGAGCGGUGUUAGUUCUGAGCUCGAGGAGUUUGUGUUGGCGGCCGACAACACGACGCUAAGAGUUAGGACUAAUACAAUGGUGUACGUCCGCUUAUGGCGGAGUUGAGUCGCGUAAUAUGGUGUAUACGACGGAGUUAAGUGGGUUAGAUGACUGACCCGGUUGUUGCGUUGCAGGAACAAUGUCCCCAAGACGCUACGUGCGUAGGUCCGUUCCAGCACCAUCUCCUGAGGUGCCCUAGGAAGCCGGAUCUAGUGAGGUGUAGGAGUUACGGGCGCAAGUGUCGGCAUUGACCGGCAUUGUCCAACGCCAGGAGAGUCGAUUCGAGCAGCUCCAAGGGCUUAUGGAGCGGCAUUUUGCGGCGGCAAUUGCAACUGCGACUGAGGGCCGUGGUCCGCCCGUGCCUCCAGCCCGUGCGCCUACGGUGGCUGAGGGCGAGGGCAUUGCGGCAGUUCCUGUGGCGGUACGUCCUCCGCCGGCAAGCGUUCCUCCAGCGGCGUCGUGUUCUAUGACACCCAAUGCGACGACAUUGGGGGCGGAGAGGGAGCGCGCGCUUGCGGCUCUCGAGAAGUUCCGAAAGUUCAAUCCACUGACCUUCGAGGGAGAGAAGGUCGAGCCAUGGAUGGUUGAGUCGUGGGUGGACUCAAUGGAGACCUUGUUCGAGGACCUCUACACGUUGGAGAGGGACAAGGUCUACCUCGCCACUCAUUGUUUGGAACGAACAGCGCAGGUUUGGUGGAAGCGAAUCAAGAGAAACCGAGCUUCCGACCUUCCGCCGUUGACGUGGGAGGAGUUUCGGGGAUUGUUCUACGUCAACUACUUCCCCAACAGCGAGAAGAAAGAGCUCCUGGAGCAGUUUCGAAAGUUGAAGCAAGGUAGCCGUACGGUAGCGGAAUAUGAGCGGGAGUUCUCUCACAUCAUUGACUGCGUCCCCGACGUAGUGCAGGAUGACAGGGAUCGAGCCAAUUGGUUCGAGCGAGGGCUCCGGGCUGAUAUCUGCCGGGCGGUGCACAUUCUGAAGCUCACUACCUUCGCGGAGGUGCUCGACAGAGCGUUGUGGGCGGAGCAAGGAAACGCUCACAUCCGGGAGGAGCGAGAAGCGUCCGAGAAGGACGGUGGUAAGAAGCGGGCUCAAAGUAGUUCGAGAGCUCAAUCGAAGUCGAGGAGGCCCCAGAAGUACCCGCGAACGCAAUCCAAGGGCCGCGGACCGCAGCGGUGCACAAUCUGUGGUGGGAACCACGAGCCGAGGAAGUGUGAUCAGCGGGAGGGGAAGUGCUUCACGUGUGGACAGGCGGGCCAUAUCAGCCGCUAUUGUCUAGUGAGGGCUUCGCCUGCCCCUUCAGUCUCAUCGGCUCCGGCGACUCCGGCGCAUUAUGGAGGAGUCCCACCUGCUGCGUCAUCGGUUGGACGUGCGAUGGUACCACGCCAACCUGAGGCGACGAGAUUGACUCCGAGUGGACGGGUGUUCGCCGCCCAAACUCAAUCCGAGGAACCUGCUAAGGCGGAGGAUCGCCAUGUACUCGCAGGUAUGGUUCUAAUUAACGGAGUUUGCUCCAGGGCUAUGUUUGAUACAGGUGCUAUGCAUUUAUUCAUCAGUAGGUCAUUUGCAUGCAUGCAUGACAUAGAACUACAAGAGAGUAAAAGCACUUGGAGAGUAUCGGGCCCCGGACGUGAUUUUCUAGUUCGUAAGGAGUGUUCGGCUUGUCCAGUAUGGCUAGGCGACUGGAUAAUGCCCAUCCGUAUGUUAGUGCUCAAGAAGUUGAAAGACUUCGAUGUCAUUCUAGGAAUGGAUUGGCUCUCGAAGUACUAUGCGACUAUUCACUGCAGAAGUAAAGUGAUUACGUUUCGUGAGCCGGGCCAGGAAGAGUUCAUCUACCGGGCUUGUAGAAGCUCAUACUUCGCCGCCACGGUAUCGGCGACGAGAACAAGAAAGCUAGUUAACAGCGGUUGUACGGCCUACUUGGCGACCGUUGUAGAAGUCGAGAGGACGACUCCUACGCUCGAGGAGCUGUCUGUGGUUCGGGAAUUUUCAGAUGUAUUUCCAGCGGAGUUACCGGGAAUGCCACCAGACCGGAAGAUCGAGUUCAUGAUAGACUUGGUUCCCGGAACCGCGCUUAUCUCGAAGGCUACGUAUCGGAUAGCGCCAGCAGAAUUGAAGAAGUUGCGGGCUCAGUUAUUGGAUCUCCUUGAUAAGGAAUUUAUACGGCCAAGUGUAUCGCCGUAGGGAGCCCCGGUUCUAUUCCUGCGAAAGAAGGACGGAUCGUUUCGACUCUGCGUAGAUUAUCGCGAGUUGAACAAAGUCACGAUCAAGAACAAGUACCCGUUACCAAAGAUUGACGAUUUGUUUGAUCAGUUGCAAGGGUCUCGGGUUUAUUCAAAAAUUGACCUGCAGUCCGGUUAUCACCAACUCAAGAUCAAGCCGGAAGAUGUGUAAAAGACCGCGUUUCGUACGCGGUAUGGACACUACGAAUUCACGGUCAUGCCAUUUGGGCUCACUAACGCCCCGGCAGCGUUCAUGGAUCUAAUGAACCGUGUCUUCAAUGCGUACUUGGACCGAUUUGUCGUGGUCUUCAUAGACGACAUCUUGAUCUAUUCUCGUAGCAACGAGGAACAUGCCGAGCAUUUGAGAAUAGUGCUUCAAGUCCUUCAGGAGGAGAAGCUAUAUGCUAAGUUUAAGAAAUGCGACUUUUGGCUCCGAGAGGUUGCAUUUCUUGGGCAUGUCAUUUCCGAGGGAGGAGUAUCUGUUGACCCGAGGAAAGUGGAGGCGAUCAAGGAUUGGCCUCGCCCGACUAACGUCACGGAAGUUCGAAGCUUCAUGGGUUUAGCGGGUUAUUAUAGACGGUUUGUGGAGGGAUUCUCGAAGAUUGUGGGUCCACUUACCCGUCUGACUCGGAAAGGCACCAAGUUCAUUUGGAGUGACGAAUGCGACCAGAGUUUUCAAAAGUUGAAGGAUAGAUUAACUUCGACUCCGGUGCUCGUCUUACCGGUGCAAGACGAAGACUUUGUGGUGUAUAGCGACGCGUCACAUUCGGGCUUAGAGUGUGUGCUGAUGCAAGGCGGGAAAGUGAUCGCUUAUGCGUCCCGUCAGCUGAAGAGCUAUGAGAAGAAUUACCCUGUCCACGAUUUAGAGUUGGUCGCAGUGGUGUUUGUCCUCAAGUUAUGGAGGCACUACUUGUAUGGCGCGCGUUGCGAGAUAUACACGGACCACAAGAGUCUAACAUACCUAUUCACGCAAAAGGAGCUCAAUAUGCGACAGCAGCGGUAGUUGGAAUUGCUAAAGGAUUUUGAUGUUACAAUCCUAUACCACCCCGAAAAAGCAAACGUGGUGGCCGACGCACUUAGCAGAAAGUCAGUGGAGAAUCUUGCUAUGUUGGUCACACAUCAGGAGCCACUGUGGAGAGAGAUGGAGCGAUUAGAUCUCGAAGUGGUAGCUCCGAAAAUCCCGUCUAUGCUUAUGGCUCUCGUUGUCCAACCGACCUUGUUGGAGCAGAUUAAGAGUUUGCAAUUUGCAGACCCCAAUCUCCAAAAGGUGUGGCCGGACAUCAAGAGUGGACGCGGCGGUGAUUUCAGGGUAGAUGCUGAGGGUGCGCUUCGGUUUCGAAACCGAUGGUGCGUACCAGAGAACGAGGAGGUCUGGAAGUUAAUAUUGCAAGAGGCACAUCGGACUCCUUAUAGUAUUCACCCGGGUGGCACUAAGAUGUACCGUGAUCUGAAGAUGCAGUACUGGUGGCCGGGCAUGAAAGCAGACAUUGGGCGCUAUGUAGCGCAGUGCCUUGUAUGCCAGCAAGUGAAGGCUGAGCGUCGAUUUCCAGCGGGAAAGCUCCAAAGUUUACCUAUUCCUGUUUGGAAAUGGGAGAAUAUAGCCAUGGACUUCGUGGUCGGAUUGCCCCGUUCGACGGGUGGCCACGAUGCGAUCUGGGUGAUUGUGGAUCGUAUGACCAAGUCGGCACACUUUCUACCGAUUCACACCACCUGGUCGGGUGACAGAUUAGCGUAGGUAUAUCUAGAUGAAGUUGUGAGGUUGCACGGGGUUCCAAAGUCGAUCGUGUCAGAUCGAAAUCCUCUUUUUACUUCGCUUUUUUGGAAGAACCUGCAGGAAGCACUUGGCACACGACUCGAGUUCAGUACCGCGUUUCAUCCUCAGACAAAUGGGCAGUCAGAGAGGACUAUACAAAUUCUGGAGGAUAUGUUGCGGGCGUGUGUCAUUGACUACAAGGGUAGUUGGGCAAACCAUUUCAGGAUGGCCGAGUUCGCCUACAAUAACAGUUAUCAAGCUAGCAUUGGGAUGGCACCGUUCGAGGUCCUAUAUGGACGGAAGUGCCGAUCCCCUAUAUGUUGGAGCGAUGUAGGUGAACCUGCGGCACUGGGCUCAGACAUAUUGCAAGAGGCGGAAAAGAAGGUCCGUCUCGCUCGCGAGAGGUUACUUACAGCUCAGUCGAGGCAAAAGUGCUAUUCUGACAAACGCCGUAGAGAUUUGGAAUUCGCGGUAGGUGACCGCGUUUUCCUGAAGGUUUCGCCGAUGAGAGGUGUGAAACACUUCGGAGUGCGGGGAAAGCUAAGUCCCCGAUAUAUCGGACCGUUCGAAGCGUUGGAACGUAUUGGAGCAGUAGCAUAUAGACUGGCAUUACCGCCGAAGCUCGCAGGCGUGCAUAAUGUGUUCCACGUCUCCAACCUUCGUAAGUAUAUUCCCAAUCCCGAGCAUGUUAUGUACUACGAACCGCCAGAUCUACAAGAGGUUUGAGCUAUGAAGAAUUUCCGGCGAUGAUUAUUACUUGAGAAGUGCGAAAAUUGAGGAACCGCGAGAUUCCCUACGUGAAGAUUCAUUGGACCAAUCACAGCGAUCGUGAGGCUACGUGGGAACUCGAGGAAUCGAUGAAAGUGCAUUAUCCUCAUCUGUUCACGGAAAUGCAUUGAGGUAUGAGUUGUUGAAUUCGUUUCGAAGACGAAACUCCUUUUUAGGAGGGGAGGAUGCAAGGAAGUGAAUUCUCGAAAUACGAGAGUUAGACUUCAUCCAGAAUCGAUCAAGGGUCGUGUUGGUGAGCUUUGGAAAAGCCAAAAAUGUCAAAUCACCAAAAGUGCAUUGGAAACGAGUCCACGAGAGCAAAUAGUGCAAAAUCUGCACUGGAGCAAAACUGCUCUCGGGGACCGGUCCCUGGCAGGAAGGGACCUGUCCCAUCGGCUGGUGGUUGCGGGGAUCCUUGAGGCAACCGGUCCCUGGCAGGGAAAGACCGGUCUCCGAACGUGAUCCGAGCGAGAAAAGCCAAAAUUUGGCUAAGUCCCGAAAAUCCUGCUCUCGGGAACCAGUCUUUCGGUCAAGGACCGGUCUUCCGGAGACCGAUCUCUCAGGGAAGGACCGGUUUCCGAAUGCGUGACCCGAGCUGAAGCUCUCGGGGACCGGUCCCAAGUCGGGAAGACCGGUCCCUCUAGGCGAAAAAUGCCCAGUGAGGGGCAGUGCACAGGAGUAAAAGGUGGGGGACUUAUGUGGAUAUUGUUACAAUAUGAGGUGAAUGGGACCCCUCCUCUCUCUCAUCUCCUCAUUCCACUCUCCCUUUCUCUCACACUCUUUCUCCCUCUCUCUCUAGCAAGAGAAGAACAAAGGAAAGAACAAAAAGGAGAAGAAAAGAGAAGGAAAAGAAGGAAGAAAAGGAAGGAGAAGAAGAAGGAGAUCAAGCUUGGGAGGCUUUUGGACCUCUCCCUCUUCCUCUCUUCUCAUUUGGAGGCUACACAANACACUUCGGAGUGCGGGGAAAGCUAAGUCCCCGAUAUAUCGGACCGUUCGAAGCGUUGGAACGUAUUGGAGCAGUAGCAUAUAGACUGGCAUUACCGCCGAAGCUCGCAGGCGUGCAUAAUGUGUUCCACGUCUCCAACCUUCGUAAGUAUAUUCCCAAUCCCGAGCAUGUUAUGUACUACGAACCGCCAGAUCUACAAGAGGUUUGAGCUAUGAAGAAUUUCCGGCGAUGAUUAUUACUUGAGAAGUGCGAAAAUUGAGGAACCGCGAGAUUCCCUACGUGAAGAUUCAUUGGACCAAUCACAGCGAUCGUGAGGCUACGUGGGAACUCGAGGAAUCGAUGAAAGUGCAUUAUCCUCAUCUGUUCACGGAAAUGCAUUGAGGUAUGAGUUGUUGAAUUCGUUUCGAAGACGAAACUCCUUUUUAGGAGGGGAGGAUGCAAGGAAGUGAAUUCUCGAAAUACGAGAGUUAGACUUCAUCCAGAAUCGAUCAAGGGUCGUGUUGGUGAGCUUUGGAAAAGCCAAAAAUGUCAAAUCACCAAAAGUGCAUUGGAAACGAGUCCACGAGAGCAAAUAGUGCAAAAUCUGCACUGGAGCAAAACUGCUCUCGGGGACCGGUCCCUGGCAGGAAGGGACCUGUCCCAUCGGCUGGUGGUUGCGGGGAUCCUUGAGGCAACCGGUCCCUGGCAGGGAAAGACCGGUCUCCGAACGUGAUCCGAGCGAGAAAAGCCAAAAUUUGGCUAAGUCCCGAAAAUCCUGCUCUCGGGAACCAGUCUUUCGGUCAAGGACCGGUCUUCCGGAGACCGAUCUCUCAGGGAAGGACCGGUUUCCGAAUGCGUGACCCGAGCUGAAGCUCUCGGGGACCGGUCCCAAGUCGGGAAGACCGGUCCCUCUAGGCGAAAAAUGCCCAGUGAGGGGCAGUGCACAGGAGUAAAAGGUGGGGGACUUAUGUGGAUAUUGUUACAAUAUGAGGUGAAUGGGACCCCUCCUCUCUCUCAUCUCCUCAUUCCACUCUCCCUUUCUCUCACACUCUUUCUCCCUCUCUCUCUAGCAAGAGAAGAACAAAGGAAAGAACAAAAAGGAGAAGAAAAGAGAAGGAAAAGAAGGAAGAAAAGGAAGGAGAAGAAGAAGGAGAUCAAGCUUGGGAGGCUUUUGGACCUCUCCCUCUUCCUCUCUUCUCAUUUGGAGGCUACACAAGAGGUAGGCUUCUAACCCUAGCUUAUGAAACUUAGGGUUUUUAGGUUUUGGGCUUUGAAAAUGGGGUCAAAUGGACCCCCAGCACCAUUAUUGGUGGAUGAAAGCUAGAGUCAGGGUUUCAAAUUGCAAAUGGCAAGAUGGGAACCCUAGGGCUCCAAAAUAGGGUUUUUGAUAAAGUAUGAAUUGAUCUCAUUUGAGACCUUGUAAACCUAAUUGGUAGGUGCCAAAACGCGGAGGCGAAGUCGGAUUUAGCAUUCGUCAAGUGGGUCGAGAGCUAUCGGCAAAAUAAGGCCUAUUGAGCAUCAUUUUGGACCAAGAAGACCGAGACUUCAUCGUAACGUUCGUUGGAGGGCACUUCUAGAGCCUCCAUACCCUCAAGAGGUGGGGGGUGUCACCCCGAAGCAUCCGGAUUUCUCCUUAUGUCUAAGUUAAUUUUAUUCAUCAUAUGUUGAUUGUGCAUUAUAGGAUUAGUAGAAGCAUAUUUCCACUCCUUGCAUGCUUACUUAGUAGUGUAGCGGUAUGGGCUUAACACUUGGACUAGGGAGGCAUGAGGAUUGGGUCUUGAGACAUAGAAUCCUAUAGUGGCAAAAGUGAUGAACUUAGACAUAGCCUAGUAGAGUGGCAUUGACUAGUGUGGUAGAAACACUAAACUUGAACGAGUGGCAUGUCGACUAGUUCGAAGAUAUUACUACAACGACUGAACGAGUGGCAUCGAGUCUAGUGUAGUAAACAUGACAUGAUUCUUGGGAUAGUAGAGGUCUCGGCAUCUAGGAUGCAUUGUAUAUUGUGCAGCAGAGGCACAUUGACCCUUGUAGAUAGAGUAUCCUCUUGUAAGGAUUGGAUCAUACUCACUAGUCUAUUUUCGCUGUCGGUGGUCGCUCCACCGUGGCACGAGUCUCUGGAGUACUUCACUAGGGGCAGACAUAGUUGUCCCGUAGACGGUCUCGGUGUGCGAGUGUAGCUUCUCCUCACCUAUGAGAUUGAGAGUGAGUCGAGGGUUUAACCUACGGGUUAACUAAGUAGAUUAGGUAAUAAACAUGGAAUGCAUAGUAAACUUACAUUAUUACCUUGAGUAGACAUAGUGUAUGUUGUAGUUUACAUUACUAUGCACUUUUAUAUGCUCAUGACAUAAUACUAGCAUGAUAGUAGUUGUUGCAUGCAUUAUUAUCAUUGAUGGCACGAUAGAGUAAUUGCAGUUUGUUUCUAUAUAUCUAUCUAUCUCUCUAUCUGUGCCAGCUUAGAUCUAGUGGGAAAGCCGGCGACAUCGGCGGCUGAACCCACUGGGAACUAUAUUUAUAUAGUUCUCGCCCCAUGUGGUUUUGGGAUACAGGUACACACAGGGGCGAGCCGAGCGAGGAUAGCGGCAAGGGCAUAGCGCCCUAAGUGAGUUAGUUAGUAGCUUUUCCCUUAUGCAUUAGAGUACCGCCGUGUACGAGACAUGAUGUGUAUUUUGGAUAGAUAUCGGAGAGCUACUUGUAUAUUUUGGAAGACAUGUAUUUAUAUUUUGGCAGAUGAAAAUGUAAUGUAAUCAACUUAUGUAAAUGUUGAAUGGUUGUAAUAGCUAGAUAUUUCUCUCUUUAUACACUUGUACAUUCACUCGUAGUUCUUGCUCUUAGUUAUAGUGCACUAGUGUGCAUCGUGAUUGAUCAUGUAUGUUAUUUAAGCAAUUCCUGGGUGCUUAAUUAUACUUGAUCAGGUUGUUUGGCCUUGGGCGGACAGGAAAGGUACUGUCCGUUCGGCGUCCGUCCGCCGUGCCCAAACCGUGCCAAAUUGGUAGCGGCAUCGGGGCGGGGGCGUGACACCUAAAUAUAUUAGGAUUGGGGUACGUUUUGGUGGAGUUUUAUAAAUAGCUCUUGAUGGGAUGCUUUUCGAGGGAGUAGGUACGAGAGAAUGCCUUCUUGGGUGCAACAGUACUAGGAGAGAGAAAAUAUAUGCUUUGAGUGCACCUAGUGCAUGGAUGCAUGUAGAGAGUUGUCUUCUUUGUGGCUUUAUAGAAACCGAGAGAAGGGUAAAAGAGAUUCAAAAAGAGAGCUCGGUUUGUAGCUACUCUAUUGUAGAAGAGGAGUCAGGUGUAAUCUUCUUUUAUUUAAUGACUCUUAUUUUACCCGCAUAUUUUCUGUUUUUGUUUUUUCUCUCUUUUAUGAUUGUAUCAGUUUUUGCUGAGGAGACGGGUUUAUGGUAAAAAUCCGAUUCAAUUCUUCCAUUGCGGAUUCCCAACAAGCAGUAAUGGAUCAACAACAGUCAGUAUCGGAGCGGGUUGCGGAUUCUCAAAAUUCGGUACCGGGGCGAAUACUGAAUUCCCCACAUUUGGUACCGAUUUAUAUUAGUUCUGCUUACAUUUUCUUUAAAGUCUCUACUUAAUCACAUCUUUUGAUUUAUUAAGAAACUUUUGUCAACUAACUGUAAUUUAUUUAUCCACUGCGAAGCGCAGGUCCUCUACUAGUAGGUAUAAAAGGAAGGAAUUGUUGUUCCACCCUCUAAACGGGUUGUAUGACCCGUUAAGAAGGGAAUAUGAAAUUCUUUUGUCGUUUGGGAAUACGGGUUUAGGGUUUACCACCCCGCUCUUCUCUGUACCUCUCCGACACCGAUCUCUCUCCUACGAGUAAUCCCUCUCCGACACCGAUCUCUCUGCUACGAGUAAUCCCUCUCCGACACCGAUCUCCCUCUCCUACGACACCAACCCUGCGGGACAAGCGAGGCACGAGUAAUCGCUUGUAGAGUUCGAUGUUUUGGCUUCAUAUCAGUGUUUUUGAUGCAAUUUUCGCUUAAUUUUCUCUGUUUCUUACGUUUAUUAGGCUUCUAGCUGCUCCGAUUUGGUAUUAGUUGCUUGAAUUUGGUACUACUCGCCUCGACCGAGAGAGACCCGUUGUGUCUUGCUUGGAUUGGGGUUUUCGAUUGCCCGGUUGCGGAGGUGAGCUCUCUUUGUGUGAUUGGGGGCCGAUCGGAUUCGCUUUUUUCAGCUACUCGAUCGGGAGCUCGGAGGACACGAAUUCGACGAGGUAAUCUGUGAAUCUUCCAUCUCAUCCUGUUGAUUCGUAAUUGCUUAAUUCCUUUGCUCUCAUGGAUGAUAUCGAGCUCUAUGUUUGGGAUUUGAUUAAUCUGGAACUGGAAUUUGAGGUGAAAGACCUAGAGAUCUUACUUGAACUGUAAUAAAAACAUGCAAUUUUGAAUUUUGGUAUCUGAACUGUAAAACUUUUGAAUUUUUUAUCUGAAUUGAUGAAUUUUAAAUAUUUUGAUUCUACUAGCUUACUUUUCGGAAUUUAAUGGAAUUGCAGAAUUAUUUUGUUUGAUUAGGAAAUAUUUGAUUAAAAAUGUUAUAAAUACAGUAAAGUUAGAUAGUAGAAUCAAAAUUUUCAAAGGUCGUGUGUCAGUGUUUCGAUAAAUAGUGUACGAUAAGGUAGUAAAAUAUUUUUUUUUUGAUGCUCAGGUAUCUAAUUUUAAUUGCACUGUAGUUCAUAUUAGGCGUAUAUGUUUUUACCAAAAUUUCGACCUUCUUACGCUGAACUUCAGAGGCAGGAGCAUUCUGCAUUUGAACAAUGAUAGUCCCAAUCAUGCUGAGAAAGUUAAAAAUACCUUUAUAUUCAAUACAUUUGUUCUCUGUCAACUCUUCUACGAUUGAGUCAACAUGAAAUUUAAAAUUUCAGUCCAAAAUCAGUUUAUUUUUUUGACAAAUAGGUCUCUUUAUUUACAUCAAGUGAAAACUAUGGCAUGUCAAAGUAAGUUUUGCGAUUGGAGAAUUUAUUGCCCGGGAGUGUGUAGAUUAUAUCUUUUAUGAAUUAAGUUCUUUGUAAUUUUGGUCAUAAUCUAAGCCAAAGGGUUUCAACUAACUACCAAUAAUUUAACUUUUGCUUGGAUCUUCUUAGUCUGCUAAACUGAAAGCUAUCAAAGAGAUUUUCAAAAGUGCUAUCAGAAAUAGUGGUUUUAAUGGAAAUCAUGAUAUUUGUAGGGACUUUCCUGCAUUUUAGCCUGAUGAAGUUAUGAUAAUAUCCUGGUGGUUUUAGAUUUCAUCUUUCUACCUAGACAUCAACAGUUGAUUAUUGGAGUUGAAUUUUUUGCAUUACUCUGUAUGAACUGUGUUCUCAAAUUAGGCUCUAAAUUUUACUUUAAUUGUUGCUUCACUUGGUUUUGGGGGUAGUGAUUAUCCGAAUGUUCAAAACUAUGAUUGUCUUUUAUUGCGUGAAUGUAUAGUGUUAAGUCUGGCUUGUUUUGUUUUGUUUUUUUGUUUUUUCCCUACUUUUCCGAAGUUGGCGGAGAAAGACAGAAUUCUUUUUAGUCCAAUAUGUGACAGAAAGUUUUCUCUAGAUGACUAAAUCAAUAUUUAGAUUCUUGUUCGGAUAUGUGCCUUCUAUUCGAUUUGAUGGUUUUCCAAAACAAUCACAAAAGACAUUUCUAGUGUUAAGGGGAAAAAAAAAAAUCUAUAAUAGGUUUUCUCUGAUAACAAACUUCUAUACAGAUGUAUUUGACCGGAUCACCAUUUAUUUUUACCAAUUAUUUAUUUGAUCUACAUUAUCUUUUAUAAUUAUGAGCUUUCUUUAUUUUAUAGGCUGAUUUUACAACUUCAUUAGUACUGUAUUGGAUAAAAGUUGGAUAAAAAAGAGUAGGUGGAUGUCUGAAUAUUACAGAGUGAAUGAUUUUGUGGAUUUUGCUUUUAAAAUGCGCAGAGGAUGGGAGGAUUUCAUAUCCUUGUAUGAAUGCACAAAUUCCUAUAGUUGGACUCGGGAAAUUGUACGCGAUCACCUAAUUUGCAAUGGAAUUAGUCCUAAUUAUGAUAAUUGAUUGUUUUACGGGGAAGCCAUAUCUAGAGACACAUCUAAUCCUACUAAUGAGAGCCGUAGUUUUCCGGUCCAUAAUGUGAAUGUUACUGUAUAUGACAUGCUACGUGAAGCUUUUCAAAUGCAUAAUAAUCAACUUCAAGAUGACUUUCGAGAUUAUAGUGAUUUUCAAGACACCUAGGGAAGGUUCUGAUUCACAACAACCUAAAGAUGCUCCAAAUGAAGAUGCAAGUAAAUUUUAUAGGUUACUUAAAGAUGCCGAAGAACCUUUGUACAAUGGUUGUGAGAAGUAUAACGAAUUGGCAGCUAUUGUAGUUUUAUAUCAUUUGAAGUCCCUUUACGGGUGGAGCAAUAAAUCGUUUAAUAUGCUCCUUGGAAGUACUAAAAGAUAUGCUUCCUUCAGGUUCUAAAUUGCUGGAUGAUUGCUAUCCCACGAAAAAUAUAUUAGGGACCUAGCAAGUUUAUUAAGUGAUACAAAUGACUAUCUUAGUUGAGUUAGAAAUGAUGUAGAUGAAACUAUAGCCAACAAGACGCUUGCUUCUGAAAACUUAUCACAAGAAGACAAAUACACAGAGAGCUCCGAGCUUGACGUUCUACAAGCGGUUGCUCUAACAAGUAAAGCAAGCGAAAUUGUAAUGUGGAUUUUCUUUUUAAUAUCUAACUUAAUGCAUGCAAAUAUAAAACUUGAUAUGAAUGGGCUUAACUUUUAGUUAUAUGGAUUUUAAGCUUUAUUAUCUACAGAUGUUAGAUGAUGCUAAUUGUUAAAAUAAAAGUAAUUGUGGCAUGUUAGAGUUUGGGCAUUUUGUUUCAAUAUCAUAAGCAAAUUAAAGAUAGGAAUGUCAUUAUUAUAAAAGUUGUAGUAAUUGGGUUGAUUUUUAUCUGGUAACUUUGGGUGCAUUGUGCUUGUUUUCUCAACUUUCAAAUUGUAAGAAUUUGGUCCUAACCUAUAUAUUUCUCACUGUAAACAAUAACUGCCAUUUACGUGGCUUUUCAACUUAUUAUAUGCGCGAGGAUUUCCUUAUAACAGCUUCUCUACUCAAAAGACGGAAAGUUAGGCAAUGAGCGCCAAUAGAAAAUGCAAAGCUUCUUUGUCCGUGGAAGCUUUGAAGUGUACUUUUAGGCAGUUACAUAGAAGUUCUAAUUUAAAACUUUCAUUUCUAGCCACGAUAUCGAUUGUUAAAUUAAAUAAGUGUAUUCAGACAAUUCACAUCAUCCCUAGACAUUCAAAUCUGACGAAGUUUCACUAGAAUCUCAAUGAUUCAAUUAGUGUCCUUUAGGAAUAGGAAUCUAACAGUAAACUUUAUUUUCAAUUCUAGGAGAACUUUAAAGGGUAAUUCGUUUCACCAGCUUUCAGCAUUUGUGGGAAUAUUGUCUAUUUUAUAUUCAGAACAACAAGUUUGUUAUCAGCUUAACCAUGCCAUUUUAGUUGGGAGGAUUUUAGGGACUUGAAUAUUCUUUUUACUGGGCUACUCAUGAUUUCUAUCAAGUAUGAAAAUGGCGGAAUCUCUUAUGGUCUUGUAAUAUUUCUAUUAUAGUAAUUUCACAAGUUUGCCAACGUCUCUUGUAGCUUUCCAACUUGAGUUGCAUGGUGACGAUUUGAAUAUUUCAAAUAGACACUAUGGAGGAUUCCCAUAAUAUUGCAAACCAUGAAAUGAACAGGCCAACCUAUAAUAGAAUUUCACUCUUCUUUUCCUUCCUUUUUUCCUACAACAUAUAAAAUUUUGGAAUAUAAAUUAAUGUUCAGAAGUUCUGCUCAAAUAGCAGUUUUACAAGAAGCUCCGUUGGAUUGGAUUUGGGAAAUAAAGCUUUAAAUGUAUGCAUGGUCUCUAUAGUCCAACAAUUUUGUUUUUUUUUUACCAUACUUGGACUGAAAAUGGGCUUCUUUUAGCCCAACAACCACUUUUAGCUCAAACUAUACAUUUUUAAUAAAACCCCUCGGAGUUGUUGUUAUUUUAUUUUACUCUUGUGAAGCAAAGAGAGAGAGUAACCAUGGCAGUAGCCUCCAUACUAUUCUCACCACCACUAUCCAAAAACUCACCAAACAGGUAAUAAUCUCAUCUCUUUUCCCAUCGAAAUAGCAACUAUUUUAACUAUUAAUCCUUCAAUAAUUUCUCUAUUUUCUUUUUUUCCCCUCCAAGGAUACUUCAGAAAUCUCAAGCUCUGAGAAUCUCAUCCGAUUACUCCCAAUUCGAAGUAUGAAUUAUGGUGUUUUUUUUGUCCCUUUUUAAUUUAAGUUAAAUCCUGCUCUCUCUUUUUCUUUUUUCUGUGAAAGAUGUGGUUCUGAUGCGUAAAUCGGAAUGGGGUGGAGAUUUGUUUAGGGUUUGUAAUACAGUAAGGGCAUGUGUAGUUCGCAAUUGGAUUUGGAAUUGAAAACGAUUUGAUUUAGCUUGUCAUUUGAAUAGGAAACGAAAUGAAUGAUUAAUGAUCACCGUUCGUACAAGAAUUAUGUUCUAUUGUUAUAUUCGAUGUUCUUUUGCUCAUGUUAUAUAUUUAUACCAAUGUUGUUCUCAUUACAUUGUCAAAGAAAUAUGAAGGGCUAUAUUUUCUAGAGUAUUCAGGAUGUUUAUUUAAACAUAUCACUUAUUGAAGCUCAGAGGGGGAUUUUUUUGAAAAUAACCCUGUAGAAUUUUGUAAUUGGCAAAAUGACCCUCUGAAAAAUUUAUUUGUAAAACUAACCCUCCUUUCGCCACGUCGGCGCCAGCUUGGACAUUUCUCGUAAAGACGGUGAAUCGUUCACCGCCGUUGCAUAUUUCUCGUGAAGGCGGUGAAUGGUUCACCGUCUUAUGAAGGCGGUGAACUAUUCACCGUCUUUAAAGCAAAUACACCCCUGCUCCCCUUACAAGGCCACUCUUACAAGGCCACCUUACCUGUGUACACCCCCGCUCCCCUUACAAGGCCACCCUUACAAGGCCACCUUACCUGUGCCCUCGAUAAGACGGUAAAUGGUUCACCGUCUUAUCCGUGCUGCACUAAAGACGGUGAAUGGUUCACCGUUUUAUCUGUGUAAAAGCCCCCAGUCCAGGACUUAGCCAUUUUUUUGCGGGUUUCUGGAUUUGCACUAAAGGCGGUGAACCAUUCACCGCCUUUAGUGCAAACAGCACCAGGUGCUAAUUUCUGCUCAAUUUUGGCGUCAAUUUCAACAAGUUUGAAGCAAGUUUUUUCACGAUAACAAAUAUUCAAACAAGAAACACAACACGAGUGGAAUAACAAAAUACAAUCAACCGGAUAAACAUAUCAAACAAAACACUUACAAAUAUACAAAUAUGAACUAAAUCAAGUAUUAUAUAAUAUUAUACAAAGUAUGUUCUCUAAAUAAAAAAAAUACAAUCAGUCUCUCGAUCUUCCUCUCCCUCGACGUCCUCGGCCACGUCUACGGCCACCCUGUACAUCGAGCUCAGCAAUAGGUACGUCAUCAAGAGCCUCAAUACCGGCCAUCUGAUCGAGAUCCGCAAUGAUAAUGCCCUCGGNAUAUAUAUAUAUAUAUAUAUAUAUAAAAUACAAAAUAAAUUCGAAUUCGGGUUGGGUUCAGGUUCGGGUCAGGUAUAGUAAAAAUCCAUAUUCGUCGGAUUUUUAUUUUUGAUAUCCAUAUCCGAAUCCAUAUCCAUUUAGUAUCGAAUAUAUCCGUUUUAUUCGGAUUCGAGUUCGGAUUAAAUUUCGGAUAUCCAUACCAUUGGCAUCCCUAUUCCCGCUUUGUGGGAUCUACUUAUACGGUUCGGUUGAAUUUAUGGAAAGCUAAUUGGACUUUUUUCGAAAAUAACCCUGUGAAAUUUCGUAAUUGCCAAAAUAACCCUGUGAAACUUUUAUUUGUAAAACUAACCCUCCUCUUGCCACCUCAGCCGCCAGAUCAGCGUUUCUCACGAAGACGGUGAUUCGUUCACCGUCUUUGGGGACCCAUUUUGAAUGCGGUGAAUGGUUCACCGUCUUCUCUAGGCGUGGACCAUUCACCGCCUUCUCAGCAAUUCCCUGCGUACCCUAAGGUGUCUCGAGAAGACGGUGACUUGUUUACCGCCUUAUUGAGCCGGUGAAUCGUUUACCGUCUUAUCGAGGCUUCAACCAUUCACCGCUUCCUCUGCCUGGAGAAGACGGUCACUCGUUUACCGCCUUAAUAAAGGCGGUGAAUCAUUUACCGCCUUAUCAAGGCGUAAACCAUUCACCGCCUUCUCAGCAAAUCCCCCGCCCAACAGCCCGGGUUUGUGGCAUAGAUAAGACGGUGAAUUGUUCACCUUCUUUUGAGUAAAACUCCCACCCAGCCUAAUUUGGUUAAGUCCUGGUGGCCGGGCUAAAACACCUAUAAGACGGUGAAUCGUUCACCGUCUUAUCUGUUGUACACUAAAGACGGUGAGUGGUUCGCCGUCUUUAGUGCAAACACCACCCAGUCCAGGACUUAGCCAUUUUUUUUCCCGGGUUCUUGGAUUUGCACUAAAAGCGGUGAACCAUUCACCGCCUUUAGUGCAAACAACAUCAGCUGCUGAUUUAAGCUUGAUUUAAAAAAAAAAUUCAACAAGUUUAACGCAAGUUUUUUCACGAAAACAAAUAUUCCAACAAGAAACACAACAUCACGAGUGGAAUAACAAGAAACAAUCAACAGAAUAAAAAUAUCAAAAAAAAACCCCGAGAAAUAUACAAAUAUGCACUAAAUUAAGUAUUAUAUAAUAUUAUACAAAGUCGAAGUUAUCUAAAUCAAAGAUAUACAAUCAGCCUCUCGAUCUUCCUCUCCCUCGACGUCCUCGGCCACGUCUACGGCCACCCUGUACAUCGAGCUCAGCAAUAGGUACGUCAUCAAGAGCCUCAAUACCGGCCAUCUGAUCGAGAUCCGCAAUGAUAAUGCCCUCGGGAUGCUUUGGAAUCGCCUGAGUCUCCUCUGGCUCAAGUCGAUCACCCUCGAUAGUGGCCGGUGUAGAUGCUAGGCAGGCCUGUGAUGAUGACGCGGCAUGACGUCGAGAGUAGACUAAUCUAAAGUGCUCUCGAGAGACUGGCGGCGGAAGCGAGUCCAAGUCCAAUGGCAAGGAAGGAAAUCUUGAAGGGGCGGCGAGUAUAUCUGCAACAUCACUAGGAGAUGGAGAUCGUGACACUCGUAGGCUCGACCUCGAGUAUGAUCCAGUCGAUGUCGGUGAGUGUCUCCUGUGAUGACCCGAUGUCGAGGGUUGACCAAAAUCUCGACCUCCAACAUUAGCAGCGACAGGUAUGGAAGGAAUGUACUCCAGUACUGACUCAAUAUCGACAUCCAUGCUCGCCAAUGUCUCCAUCAUCGCAUCGUAAGAAGGUCGAUCAUGAACUAGCCCUCUGAUGCCCAUUUGAGUCUGUCGUAAUACGUCCACCUGCAUUAUAGAUAAAAACUCACUAUUUGCAAUCUAUAUUAACUAUAAGAUUAAAAAAUAAAUUAACAUAUGAGUGAUCGUACCAAAGCUUUCUCAGUCUGGCCGCGAGGCAGGUAAGUCAAUGGUGGACGCUGUACUGAACGAGAAAUCCAUCUUCUCGUGAUCUGCCAAUACCACUCCAUAUAAAUAGAUGUCGCCUGAACCGGGUCAUCACCGACAAUUGGAUGCUGGUCAAUAGUAGCCUGUAAUCGCUGUCCCCAUCUCUCGAUGUGUGCAAAAUGAAAGUGGGCCCAAUCCUCAUCUGGUCGCCCCUGAGAUGUGAAGCGACGGAUUGUCUCCACGUGAAUUGGUAUAUGCUGCAGGAGACCAAACUGCCGAAGGACUCGAUCGGGCACGUGAAGCUCAACGAUAUGAAAACAAAUUAGCGUCGUCCGCGAUCGCCAUACCGCACUGUCCUGUACACAGAAUGCCGGCAGCACAUCUAUAACAGCAUCUGUGUACGGCCGCCAUGUAAUCUGUGAAAAAGCUAAUAAUAGUCAGCAGAAUGCAUUAAUACGGUUGAAUAUUGAAAAAAUGGUUGCAUUAAUACGUACCUGGGACUCUCGCUGCUGAUCUAGCUCAUCUCCAUAGAACUCAAUAUCGGUCGUCCUAACAUUUGCCCCAAAACGUAAACCGUCGGCGUUCGUCCACCUAAUAUUUGAAAAGUAUGUUAAUUCCAAAUAUAUAUACAGAAAUGUAAUAUGUAUCAUAUUUAAUUGUGUAAAAAAGUGAAAAACUAGGUUAAAACUACGUUACCUAGUUUAAAAUGGGUGUACAUGUUUAUAUUACGUUCAAACGUAGUUUAACCUUUAGACCUAGUUUAAAACUAGUUUAAACUAGGUUUAAACCUAGUUUAAACCUUUGAACCUAGUUUAAACUAGGUUUAAACCUAGAAAUUAGGUAGGUUUAAACCUAGAAAUUAGGUAAUUUCUAGGUUUAAACCUAGUUUAAACUAGUUUAAACCUUAAGGGUUUAGGGUUUAGUUUAAAACUAGGUUUAAACCUAGUUUAAACCUUUGAACCUAGUUUAAACUAGGUUUGAACCUAGUUUCUAGGUUUAAACCUAGUUUAAACCUAGUUUAAACUAGGUUUAAGGGUUUAGGGUUUAGUUUAAACCAGUUUAAACUAGGUUUAAACCUAGAAACUUGCUAAGAGAGGUUUAGACUUGCAAUGGGUUUAGGGUUUAUACUAGUUUAAACUAGGUUUAAACCUAGAAACUUGCUAAGAGAGAUUUAGACUUGCAAUGUGGAUUGCUGUGGCACGGGGGAAGGCUCGGUGGGUCGACGGCGACCGGCGGCGGCGACAUCGGCUGGGGCGGUGGCGACUGGGGGCGGCGACGGGGGGGUACGGCUCUUGGUUGGAGAGGGAUGGGCAGAGAGGGAGAGAGAGACAGAGAGAUAAGAGAGAGAAAGAGAGCGAAGAGAGAGGGAGAGGUGUCGGGGUCGGGGCUGGGUAUACCUAGGUAAGACGGUGAAUCGUUCACCGUCUUCAUGAACAUAGUGAAGACGGUGAACGAUUCACCGUCUUAUCUAAGGAUACCCGCUGGCGGGUGUCUGCAAUGAAGACGGUGAAUAGUUCACCGUCUUUAGUGCAGCACAAAUAAGACGGUGAACUAUUCACCGUCUUAUCUGUGUUUUAGCCCCGCCUCCAGGACUUGGCCAAAUUUCGGGUGGGUGGGGGUUAACUAUAAAGACGGUGAAUGAUUCACCGUCUUAGUUAAGACGGAACUAAGACGGUGAACCGUUUACCGUCUUCUCGAGGGCACAGGUAAGGCCGCCUUGUAAGGGGAGCGAGGGUGUAUUUGCUCUAAAGACGGUGAAUGAUUCACCGCCUUCAUAAGACGGUGAACCAUUCACCGCCUUCACGAGAAAUAUACAAAGGCAGUAAACGAUUCACCGUCUUUACGAAAAAUAUCCAAGCUGGCGCCGACGUGACGAAAGGAGGGUUAGUUUUACAAAUAAAUUUUUCACGGGGUCAUUUUGCCAAUUACAAAAUUCUACAGGGUUAUUUUCAAAAAAAGUCCCUCAGAGGUUGUAGUUUUUAGAAGAGGUAUGAACCUGUCGAACGGGGCGAGAGUUGUGCACUGAAUUUGUAUUCAAUUAUUGUUCGAAUGAGCUCAAAUGGCUCAUUGACUAGUGAAAGGCGUGCUUGCUAAAAGAAUGAACAAAUUAGCUUCUGUCAUUAAGAAUAUUUGCAUUCUCAUGCUAUUUAUGUUGCUUCCACGUACAUUUUUAAACGUUGUUUUUAUACGUUUCUAAGUGUUUGGAGCUUUUUUACCAAUACAGUUGAUUUAUUUAAGGUGAGAAAAGUCAGUUACCGACCUCCUGGUACCCAACACAACCUAUUGAAUGAAGUUAGCCUUUCCCUGCCAGAGAAAAGGUAAACACGAGAAGUCCAACAUCAGUUUCGCAAUAAGCACCAUGAGAUGCGUUAAAUUUUGUAUUACUACUGCUGAAUCCAUGGUCGCUGCAGCUUUGGCUUGAUAUUUGGACGCAGUGGAAGUGGGAAAACCACUCUUUUACAGGUCCGCCCUUCAACACUUUUAGUUCAUAGAAAAUUGCUUUGCCUUCUUAUAUUAGCUUGUGGACUAAAAGUUCUUUUCCUUUCCUAUCUUUUUUAUUCAGCUUUUGUCGGGAUUGUCCGAACCUACCUCAGGGUCAAUUUAUGUUCAGAGCUAUAGCAAUGAUGGAAAUCCAAAUCAACAUCCUCAGUUGUUGUCACCAGAGAGGGUUGGCAUUGUUUUUCAGUUUCCUGAGAGGUAUGAAAUGCUGCAGUUAAUUUCAUAAUGUAAAUCUAGUUGACAAGAUAAAUCUAUCAUAUUAAAUUUUUCAUUGUUAGGUAAUCUUUUAGUCCUCUUAGCCUGCAUUGUGAUUCCGAAGUGUCGUGUGGUAGGUUCUUUUUGGCUGAUACAGUGCUUGAGGAAGUUACGUUUGGAUGGCCAAGACAGAAGGCUGACCUUCUCUUACGGCAACAGCUUGCUUUGAAACUUCAGUAUGCCAUUAACUCGGUAUAACAAUUGUUGCUUGUACCUGCCAUGUUCUCUUUUCCAACUUAUUUCAUCAUUGCUCAAUUUUUCAAGCAAAUAUCAUUAGUAUUCAAUUUAGUAUCCUAAGUUUGAAACUCUGCCAACACCAUGCUUAAUGAUUUACUCUUUGAUUUGACCUCAAUGCAAAUAUGAAUUGAAUUCCAAUCUGAAAGGAGCAGAAUCUCUUUGCAAUCCUGACAAGUAAUUCAGGGGCUAAAUUUGUAAUUAAUCCUUUCGGUAACAAGUUAUGUAAGUAACUUAUUUCAAGUUCUGAGAGCUUCCAAAUUAACAAUUAUUUCAUGAAAACUUUAUUCGAACCUCAGGUUGGUCUGAACACAAUAUCCUUGGAUGAAGAUCCACAUACUCUAAGUGGUGGUUUCAAGCGGCGCCUUGCCCUGGCUAUUCAAUUGGUAAGUUAUCCUUUUGUAGUUGGUAGUUCAACCUCUAUGAGUGAUUAGCUGAUACUUUUUUUUCCACGACUCGAAUUAAUCUGUUUUUCUUUUGGGUGCAUAUAUCCAGGUUCAAACACCUGAUCUAUUGCUAUUAGACGAGCCACUUGCAGGUCUUGGUAGGACAUACUACACCUAUGCAUUACUUUCUGAAUUGUUGUUCGCAUAUACCCCUGCCAGAUAUCUAUAUGUAUUUAUCUUUGCAAGCUUGAAUUUUCAUUGUGCCCUUAAAAAGCUUGUUCAUAUAUUAUUCAACUGACAGAAAUGCCCCUCUUAAAAUAAAACUUGGUAAAAUCACAGAAACACAAGCUGAGUUACCGUGCAUUCUGCAAUGGGUACUUGAACUUUACACUAUUUUGAGUUGAAUAUGUACUUUUUAAUCAUUUUUUAUUUCACUACCACUCCAUCAAAACUUAGCGGUGCUUCUAACUUUUUUGAUCGAUAUUAUGUAACCUAGCAGAAUAUUUUGCUAGUUAAUGAAAAAUUUUAUUUUAUUUUUGUUGGAAACCAUAAAGUUACUAUGAAACCUCAGGGUGUAGGUACCGAAAUUAAAACCUACUUUUGAAGUUUGACAUCUCAAAAUGUGUGAUUGUUUAGUAAGUAUUUGUAUGGUUGAAGCAUAAACUCUUUUUCGACAAUACCAACUUCUGCUAUGAAUUGGAUGUCUUAACAAAGCUAAUUGGUCUUUCAGUAAUGCAAAAACAUAUUGAGGGGUAUAAUAUGCAAACAGAUGUUUCACGUAUGUGUGUGUGCGUGCACGUGCAUGCGUGUGCAUGUGAUUACCUGACUAACUUUAGAAUGUUCAUAUUAGAAUAUAAUUGUCAACGAUUUAUUUUAGUUGUUUUUUUAUUUAGUUAAUCUCGAGAAAUCAACAAACUUUCAUCAAUUUUAUUUUUGAUUUUUUGUAUGUCCUUUUUCCACAUUUGAGAUUAGAUUGGAAAGCUCGGGCAGAUGUUGUGAAGUUGCUAAAGCACCUAAAGAAGGAUCUCACUAUAUUGGUUGUGAGCCAUGACCUAAAGUAAGUUUCUCUUCCUUCUGCUCCAACCACAACCCCCAGUAAUUUAUUAGGUCUAAAAAAAGAAUUCUUUAAUUCACAAUUUUCUCUCAGAAGCUUAUCAAUAAUUCUUCUUUGGAGUUCUUUUUACCAGAUGAAAUAAAAAUUUAGCAUCAAAUUGACCGAAGCAUCUGCACACAUUACAUAUACAGAUAACAAUGAUUCGGGUAUAACCAUUGUUUUAAGAAGAGUAAUAUCAGAUAGCUUUAUGUUGCACUGUAACUUUUAGAGCAAGGCAACAUGUAGUGCAUUUAAAUAGAAGUCAUAAUUUGUUAUAUUUUCUUAUGUAUCCCAGUAACCAUGCUUGAUAAUACAAAAUAUCUAUUAUUUGAUAUGAUUAUAUAAUAUUAUUAUUAAGCGAUGUUAGUUGCGAUAUUAUAUUAUAGAAUUGUUUUUUGUUCAUUACUUGCCAACUUCUGAUAAUCAUAGUGUUAAUAUACAAAUCAUGAUAAGUAGUUUAUAGUGACGUCAGAGUAAAAUCAGAGUAGUACUUGUGUCCUAUUAGGAGCACAGAGGCCUUCCUCCUCCUAAGCCGUUUUUGAUGAUGGGACUUCCGAAUCGACGAUCGGCUCUGUUUGACUUAAUCUAGCAUAUUUGAACUAUCUAGAAAAUAAAUUUUGCGGUUUUUCGAUAUCAUUUAUCAAGUGAUCGAAAUGAUUCAAAAUCAACGACUGAAAAUAAAAAUCUCACAGAGUUAUGAUGUAGCACUAAAAUUUUCGAUCAGAGAUAUUAAUCUUGUUGUAAAUAGUAUAAAGAAUUUUUUGUCAAAAUUUCAUCUGAUUUGAAUACUUCUACACCGUGAAACUUACAAACGGCGUACAUCAAUCAUUAAAAAUUGUUGAUUUUGAAUCCUCUCAACUAGAUAAAUGAUGUCAAAAAUCCGCAAAAAUUAUUUUCUAAAUAUUUCAAAUGCCCUAGAUCAAGUCUGUCAGAGUGAUCGUUGAUUCGAAAUUCCCGUCAUCGAAAAUAGCUUAGGAGCACGGAGGCCUUCUAAUAGCACACAAGACCUACUCGUAAAAUCAUCCUAUAAUAGCGUAAUACAAUAUAUUAUGAAUAUAUUGUAUAUAGUAUUGUAGAGUUGCGCUGGAAUACUAUCGGUAGCAAACGGGCUCCGUUGCCACCCAUUUGUUUUCGAUGAUGGAGCCUCCAAAUUGACGAUCGGCAUCGUUGAAAAUGAUCUAUACCACUUGAAGUAUCUAGAAAUCAAAUUUUAUACUUUUUCGAUAUUAUUUUCUUGUCCAUCAAGUGUGCGUAAAAAUGAAUGGCUGAAAAUGAAUAUCCUCUAAAAAGUGAUAAUAGAAAUUUUGUAAUCAUGAUCAAGAGUAUAGAUCUUGUUCUAAAUAGUUUAAAGAAUUUUCUAACCAAAAUACAAUUGAUUUGGAUAGCUUUACACCGUUAAACGAGAAAACCCCUCAUAUCAACCAUUAAAAUUACUAAUUUUGAAACUCUUUAAUCAUUAGGUAAAUGAUGUCGAAAAGAUUUGAAAUUUAAUUUCUAAAUACUUCAAGUGAUAUAGAUCAUGUUCAACAGUGCCGAUCGUCGAUUUGAAAGCUCCAUCAUCGAAAACAAAUGGGUGGCAACGGAGCCCGUUUGCUACCGAUAGCAUUCCAGCUCAACUCUAGUAUUGUAAUAUACUCUCAUAAUAUAGGUAAAAUAACAUAUAAUGUUCGGUAUAAAGAAGCAUUAGUCUAAAAUUCAUCAAUUUUCGCAAUCUUUUCUCCAAACAAAUCAACAGGUAAAGGUGACGACAAAGUUGUUUUGAGGAUGAUGAGAACAUCUGUUAACCGGUUGUUCUGGAAUUACCUACUUUGAUUGAGAUAACUUACUUUCCAAGAAAGUUAAGUUGCCGAACAAAAUAGGGAUAUUCUUGCAAUAUCCCUCAACCAAGCUGGGUGUCCAACUUUUCAUUCCAUCAUAGAUUCAUAGUGUCACAGUAAAAAUCCUGGUCUAUUUUUUUCAGCAAAUGUCAUAUUAUCGCUUCUUUCGAAAUUGAGAAGACAUUGCAGAAACCUUAUCAAAUGCCACUAAGUCGCCGAUUCUGAGAAGAUUUUAUCUUUCUAGAUUAUGCUUACUUAGGCAAACUGAGUAGAGUAUGUCUGCUUCUAGUUCUCUUUUGCUAUUCUUGUUCUAUUUUUUUUCUUUGUGCUUGCCUUAAGUGUUAAUUGUUGCAGGGAGCUGUCUUCCCUGGUGGAUUUCUCUUGGAGGAUGGAGAUGGGUGGGAUACUAAAAGAAGAGCCUUUACCUGUUUGAUCUGCAUUCGGUCGUAAUCAGUGUACGAAAUACCACUUUUUGGCGGUAAAACUAAUAAGAGAAGAGGGUUACCACUUUUUUGCGCUUAAACCAACAAGAGACGAGGGUUUACUUGAGGGAUUGAAGUUGCCAUGAACUAAAAUGGCUGGGCCUUUUUUUUUUUUUUUUUUUUUUUUUUUUUUUNUUUCUGAUUAAAAGUGUAUUGGGUUCAAAAUUUUGGAUUAACAAAUAAGAUGAUUUUAGACGAAGGACGGUGAGAACUUGUGUGUGCGUACUUUUGAGAGGUUUCCCUAUUAAUAUUAAACUAUCGAAUUAAGUAUGUGAUAAAUAGAGAGCUCAUUAAUUCGUAGCAUAUUGAUGGACUUGUUUGGUUUAGGAGUGGAAUUAAAAUGAAUAAUGGAAUAGGAAAUGAAUUGGAAUGGUAAUUGAAUUCGCUCGCCCCCUCGAGACUGUUGGUUCAUUUCUGGAUUGGAAAGUGGGUUGGAUUAUUUUCAUUCCACUGUUUGGUUUAUAUAAAUUGAAAAAUAAUAGAAUAAUAACAUAAUACUAAUUUUAUCUCAAAUAUAAUUUUAUAAACUAUUUAAAAUUUAUAAGAAAUUUAAUUAUAUUCUAAAAUUAUUAGAGCUUUGCAAAAACAAAAAAUCAAAUUUAUUUUAAAAAUUUUUAUGUAAGAAAAAAGGAAAUUAUAAAAAAGUGCAUUAAAUUUUUUUAACAAAAUUAUAAUAGGAAUAUGAUAUAUCAUUGUUAACAUAAAUAAAAUGCAUUUUGAAAUGACUGAGACCUUAAACUUUGACUAAGGCUUCGUUUGGGAUAGCGGGGGAUUGCGUUACGUGCGGUGAGAAAGUACGUUGAAAAAAAUAUCCUGUUUGUUUUCGUACGUAAUAUUGCGUUCCGCAUAUCGCGAUGAGUCGGUUACGAUAUAUUUUCUACGGUCUCACCGGAAAACGCAGAAGUAUAUCCCUAUAUGCUUUUUACUCACCUCCAUUUUUUCUAGUAGCGUUAGAUAUGUCUCAAUACCAAACUAAGCCUAAGAAAUCUAAUAAAACUAGUAAAGAUACCUGCGUUGCAGUUGGUCAAUUCUAUAGUAACAAAUGAUUAAAAAAAGCUAAGAGAGGUAGUAAAAGCUUAAGAAGAAUUUUAAAAAAAAUUGAAUGACAGACAAAUGAAGGCAGAAAUAGCUGAAGCAACAACAACAGGGAUAGGCAUAAGUAGAACGAGAUUUAGAGUUGUAACAGUUGAAAAAAACCCACAAGAGUUGGUGCUAAGAAAAAACAAUAGUCAGCAGCUGUAACAGGAUUGUGCAUGUAUUACAGUGAUAAAAAACAGUCUUUUGUACUAAAUCAAUUAUUUCUGUGUUCUAAACAAAUGAAACGCAAAUUGAGCUAUUAGUAAUUAAUAUCAAAGAUACUUAAUAAUUAUAAAAUAGGGAAAACUUUAAAAAAAACCUGUGAUUUCGUACUUUCUCACUUUAGUACCCUGUGGUUUAAAGUGUAUUAAUUUGGUGCCCUUUGGUUUCAUUUUUAUCUUUUCGCCAGCUUUUUCGUUAAUAUUUCGUUAAAUUAUGUACAAAAAACUUCAGAUAUCUACCUAGGUUUAUUGAAUAUUCACUUUAGCAUCCUUUAAUUUUAAUUUUUUCACUGAUUUUAGAAAAAAAGACAAUGAAAUUGAUAAUAAAAAGAGAAAAAUGAAACCACAAGGCACUAAAUUGAUACACUUUAAACCAUAGGGCACUAAAGUGAAAACGUGCGAAACCACAGGGGAGGUUUUUGAAAUACUCCCUAUAAAAUAUAUAAGAUAUUGGAGCUAAAGUAUAAAAAAUAUAUAACUCUCAGAUCUACCCAUCAAUCAAACAUGAAGAUUCAAUCUCAAUGCCCGUAAUUUGGAAUAGUUGAAGUGCUACUAAAGGGCCGUUUGGUUAGAUAUAAUUAUAAAUGCAGUGUAGUUAGACAUGCAGUUGGAAAUACAGCAGUUAUAACUAUAUGAAUCUUGUUUGGUUGGAUGUAGUAGAAAGCGCUACAAGUAUAAAUAAAUUGUUUGGUUGCAUACAGUUGAGAAAUAAUUUUUUAAAUUUUAUUAUUUUAUAUAUAUGAUGGUGAUAUUACCUCCAAUGUAAAAAAAAAAAAAAAAAAAGUUUAAAAAAUAUUGAGGAGGUAAGCAUACCUUUUAUUUAAAAUUACUCUCUCCAACUGCUGUAGUUGGAACUGCGGCCAAUUUGGGUGUAGUUCGAACUGCUGCAGUUGGCCUUCUCCUGCAGUUCCUACUGCAGCAGUUGGAGUUAAAUACAUCAAACCAAACACGAAAUUUGUAUUUACAUACAGUUACAACUGCAAUGCAGUUGCAACUAUAUGCAACCAAACGGCCCCUAAAUAAAGUAGUAGAAACUCGGAGAGACAGAAAGAGGGCUGUCUAUUACUUGCUAAUUCCAAGGAUGAUCAUCCUUGGAAUUGGCAGGAACCAGCCUGCCUUUGUUGCCACUCGCUAGGGUGAGUCUACUUGUGUCGAUCGUCGAUUUGGAAGCUCUAUCAUCAAAAAUAAAUCGGUAGUAAACCGAGCAGUUUACUACCGGUAGUAGCCCAGUCAAACUCUAUAUAUAUAAAUAUAUAUAUAUAUAUAUAUAUAGAGUCCAGCGAUGGUGCUUGUAAAAGCACAAAGCACUUGGUGCUUGUAAGUUUUAUACCGUUAGAUCUACUCCUCGGAUCAUUUUCAACCAUUAGAUUAUACUAUUCAACCAACCACCCACUCAACCCUAGGGGGCCCACAUCAUCCUAACCGCAUAUCUCUUAAUCCAAUGGCUCUACAAGUACCAAUAACUCGGUACUUUUAAAAGCAUAAGAGCUCAAUUCUAUAUAUAUAUAUAUGAGCAGGGCUGCUGUACUCUUAGGAGCACGGAGGCCUCCGUGCUCCUGAGCCGUUUUCGAUGAUGGAGUUUCCAAAUCAACGAUCGGCUCCGUUAAACUUGAUCUAGCCUAUUUGAAGUUUCUAGAAAAUAAUUUUUACGAUUUUUUGAUAUCAUUUACCUAACAAUCGAAAGGAUUCAAAAUCAAUAAUUUUUAACGGCUGAAAAUAAAAAUCCUAUAAAAAGUGGUGAUAUAGCACUAAAAUUUCGAUCAAAAAUAUUGAUUUUGUUGUAGAUAGUAUAAAAAAAUUUUGUAUCAAAAUUUCAUCUGAUUUGAAUACUUCUAUACCGUUAAACUUGAAAACGGCAGAUAUCAACCAUUAAAAAUUAUGAAUUUUGAAUUCUUUCGAUCACUAGGUAAAUGAUAUCAAAAAAUCNAUGUAUGUUUAUCAAUUAUUUUCAACAAAUCAAUCAAAAAUUUAAAUAUAAAUAUCAAACAUACCUCCCAAAAGUAAUUAUUGAGUAUUUCUUGGGAUAGGGGCAAAUAUUUAUGCGCUAUGAAAAUUUCAAUAUUAUGACGAAGUCCAAAGCUAGUGGUAUGUAUCCUGAAAAAAAAGAGAAGAUAAUAUAUACAUUACAAACCGACCAAAUCAUUACACAUAAUUAUUUUCAAAUUUUAAAAUAAACUAACCUUUUGUAGAAAGAUGGUGCAUAAAGGUGGAAAAUAAGUCUGCCUCCAUCUAUCAUACAUAUGGAUGAUAACAUUAAUAAAAUAAUGGCAUGCACUUGUAAUACAUACAUAUGGAUGAUAAAAUUUGUAACGUUUUAGAUAUUAACUGUGAAAGAUGAAUAUGGUUCACAAUCAAAGAAAAAGGGGAAAAAAAUAACUGUUGUGCGGUUAAGAAAAAAAAAUAACUGUUGUGUGGUUUAGGAAAAAAAUAACUGUUGUGCGGUUAAGGAAAAAAAAUAACUGUUGUACAGUUUAGAAAAAAAAAUAACUGUCGUAUGGUUGAGGCAAAAAAAACUGCUGUGCAGUUAUUUUUUGGUACGUGUAGUUAUGCUCUCUUAUAAUUACUUAAUGAUAAUUAUAAUAUAUAAAAUAUAGGGAAAACUUCAAAAACCCCCCCUGUGGUUUCGUGCAUUCUCACUUUGCUACCCUGUGGUUUAAAACGAAUCAAUUUGCCCCCCUGUGGUUUCGUUUUUAUCUUUUUGUUAUCAAUUUUAUUAUUAUUAUUUUUUAAAAUCAGUGACAAACUUAAAAUUAAAGGAUACUAAAGUGACUAUUCGAUAAAUAUAGAUGGUUAUCUGAAGUUUUUUGUAUAUAAUUUAACGAAAUAUUAACGAAAAAGCUUCCGAAAAGAUAAAAAUGACCAUAGGGGGGUAAAUUGAUACGUUUUAAACCACAGGUAGCAAAGUGGAGAUGCACGAAACCACAGGGGGUGGUUUUUUGAAGUUUUCCCUAAAAUAUAUAUAAUGAUAAUAUAUAUAUAUAUAUUAUAUAUAUAUAAUAUUAUUAUAUAUAUAUAUAUAUAUAUAUAUAUAUUUAAUAUAUAUAUAUAUAUUAUAUUAUAUAUAUAUAUAAAUAUUUGUGAACUAAAAAAUAUAUUAUGAUAGUUAAAAAAUAUUAUUAUUGAUAAGUGCGCCACGUGCACAUUAGAACUUUUCAUGUAAAUGUGCCACGUUGGAUCUUAUGGUUCAUUGUGAUAAAAUAUAUAUAUAUAAAAUAUAUAUAUAUAUAAUGAUAUAUAUAUAUAUAUAUUAUAUAUAUAUAUAUAUAUAUAUAUAUUUGUGAACUAAAAAAAUAUAUUAUGAUAAGUUAAAAAAAUAAUAAUUAUGAUAAGUGCGCCACGUGGCACAUUAGAUUUUCAUGUAAGUGCACACGUGGCAUCUUAUGGUUCAAUUGGAACCUAUGCUUCCAAAAUUAGAUAUAUAUAUAUGAUAUAUAUUAUAUUAUUAUUAUACUAUAUAUAUAAAUAAUAUAUAAUAUAUAAUAUAUCUGUAUAAUAAACAAAUUUUGGGGAUCCAAGGAAAAGAAAUUAGAGGAGUGAGGCUACUAUGCUUCUGAAGCCGGAGCCUUCGUGCUUCAGUGUUUUUUGAUGUUGCGACUUUCAAAUUGUCGAUCGGCUCCGUUAAAAUUUGAUCUAGAGUAUUUGAAAUAUCUAGAAAAUAAAUUUUGCAAUUUUUCGAUAUCAUUUGCCUAGUGAACUAAGGGGCUCAAAAUCAACGGCUGAAAAUAAAAAUCUUACAAAACGUGAUAAUAUGACAUUAAAAUUUUAGAUCAAAGAUAUUGAUCUUGUUUUAUAUAGUAUAAAGAAUUUUCUAUCAAAAUUUCACGUGAUUUGGAUAUUUCUACACCGUUAAACUUGCAAACGGCUCACCACGGCCAUUAAAAUUAUUGAUUUUGAGUCCCUUUGAUCAUUAGGCAAAUGAUAUCGAAAAAUCAUAAAAUUUAUUUUCUAAGUACUUCAAAUACUCCAGAUCAAAUUUAACGGAGCCGAUCGACGAUUCGAAAGUCACAACAUCGAAAACGACUUGGAAGCACGGAAGACUGCGUGCUUCCAGAAGCACAGUAGCCUCACUCAUAUUAGAGGAUACAUUGAAAUAGAUAGGAAUUUAUAGAGUUUGUUUAGCACAAGAUCUCAGGAAAAAGAAAGGUAGCUUAGUACAAAUAUUAAUAGGUGUUAAUAAUGGCGGACAAGGGUAUAUCAUCAUAGCUAACUGGCACAACCGACAUCGAAUGAGAGAGCAUAUCCAAGUAUCAUCUAAGUUAUUAAUAAUCGGAGAUCUUCAACAAAUUCGUC